rnacentral:lncRNA from 1 species
UUUUUUUUUUUUUUGUGGAGAGAGAGAGGUGAUGUAUUUGGAUUGGAGGCCCAACGAUAACCAUCAAAAUGGAUCUAGUAAUAUAGGAAUCUCUCUCCCUCACUCGGCCCAAGAUGAACAUGCAUUUUCUGCCAGGAGAAAAAAAUUCAGUCCAAUAAUUUUUCCUUUCGGCUUCAAUCAAUUUAUUUGAGUAUCUGUCACCAAGAGUGGGGGGAGAUCGAACGAGUAAUAUUUAUCGGGCGAGAAACCACAGUGUUUUCAUGGGGAAAUCCCAGAAUUCAUUUUAUGUGCUUCAUUAUCAAUUUGUCGCCAUCGCCUCUUGCAAGGCCUAUCCUUCACUUUAUCUUUACCAUGGAAUGAACAUUGUAUUCAUGGUUCAUGUUUUUUUCUUUUAUGAGAAAUCAUUUCCGAGUGGCUAUUUUUUUAAAUGAACAUCGCAACAAAUAUGUUACCUUGGCAAGUACUAAUAUUAACAGGACAAAGGAACUUCUAAAUUUACUCGAAAAAAAAAUACUUCUAAAUAAGUGGUAUUAAGGGCCUGUUCGGAACUCAUCCCAACUCUCCAAACUCCGCGAAUCCAGCUUCUUAGCGCAGCUUCUUGCUCCACGUAGCGAAGUCAUUCCGUUCGGCAGCAUCGCUAUGCUUCUCCAUCGCUAGUGUGGGCUGGCAGCGUCGCUAGCCUGCCUAAGCGCCAUAACGGGCCGUCUAGAGCCAGCCCAGUUCAGCCAGCCCUGUGUAACAAGAGAGGGAGACGGUCCUCUAGCGAAUCGUUUUCUGUUUCAAGGGUGAGGAUAACGAAUCUUUUUCUUUGGCGGUGGCAACAUCGCUGUAAAUACUCUCAACUCUCACUUUUUGCUUUCGUGGAGCUGGGUUUCCCUGGCUUCUCUAAUUUGCACUACGGCCCAGCUCAACUUCUCGUUUCCAGCUUCUACGAUCUAAACCGUUCGGGACAGAUUCACUCCAGAAUUUUGAUAAGAUAGAAGCUGGAGGAGAUCAGAACAGGCCCUAACAUAACCAAUUAACUUCUAAAUGAGUAGUAUUAACAUUUUUUGAGACAUUCUCACUAAGCUUUUAUUCAACCUUCACAAUGUUUACAGGUAAAAAUUGAAGCUCUCCAGGUAUUAACAGGACUAAGGUAGCGUGUUUGAUGUGGUCUUCCAGGGCCGGCCCUGAGCAAGUGCAGCAGGUGCCACCGCACAGGGCCCCAAAAAUUUAGACGCCCCAGCCCAGGUAUGUGUAUGGCUAAUAGAUUAGUCUAUAGGGCCCAUUCUGUCAGAAAAUAAAGCUGAAACAAUCAGCCCAACAGCGGGCAUGUGGAGCAGCCAGCCUUACAACAACAUGUACGUACGCAACGGAAAUCCUAUCUGCCGCAUUCUGCGGCAGAUAGUUGUAGGUUCCCACAGGGCUAGCGAGGCACCAAGCGACAUGUGCCGGCCCAAUUAUUAGUAAAGAACACGCUACAGUAUUGGUCGGUUUUUCUGGUUUUACGAAUCUUCUAGAAGGUAAGGGAAGGUUCCUGAACCAGUUUAUGUCUUUUCCGAUUUUACUUUUUUCCUAUUCCUUUUUUUUUCCUCUCCUUUUUUCGGCUUCAACCAAUUUAUUUGAGUAUCUGUCAAGAGUGGGGCAAGAUUGAAUAAGUAAUAUUUAUCGGGCGAGAAACCACAAUUUUUUCAUGGGAAAAUCCCAGAAUUCAUUUUAUGUGCUUCGUUAUCAAUGUUUCAUCAUCGCUGCUAAUUUAUGAUUGCUCAUUCACCAUGACCUUGCACAGCCUAUCCUUCACUCUAUCUUUACCAUUGAAUGAACACUGUAUUCACUGUUCAUGUUUUUUUUUCCCUUUUAUGAGAAAUCAUUUCCGGGUGGCUAUUUUUUUAAACGAAUCGCAACAAUUAUGUUACCUUGGCAAGUACUAACAUUAACAGGACAAAGGUACUUCUAAAUGUACUAAAAAAAGUACUUCUAAAUGAGUGAUAUUAACAGGACCAAGGUGAUCUGUAUUAAUAAAAGAAAAAAGCUGCCAUGUCCAGCUUCUAGUGAAGAGUGGGACUCCAAACUGAAAUAACACAAAGUAACACAUGGCACGAUUUAUUAGUCGUUUCCAGACUUGACUUUGCUUCAUUCUUUCCUCUAAACUUUAGCGAUCUAAAUAAAAGUAACAUAUUGUCUGACAACAUAAAUGGAACACCAUGCGUGCAGAUUUCACUGAAGGAACCUCCCUGUCCACAAUUGUAUAUACAAGAGAUAAUAAGAACACUUUCAAGUUCACCUUUGACGGAUAAAUGGUUUCACACUGAAGGUAAUAAACGGAGAGAAGAGAUGCAGAUAGUUUCAAACAGUACUACUUAAUUCACCUGACGAAAGAAACAAUAAUAAUUAACCUGAAAGGAAACACGAACCGCAAGCAAUGGCGCCUGACGAUGCUAAGCGCAACUGCGGGGGUGCCCGCUGAAAUCACUGAACCUCACAGUUCCAGGUUCCAGACCCAUGUGCAACAGAGGCCAAAGUGCACCAUUACGUCUCUGAAAGCGCAGAAACACAUCUGGAACAUCACCUGAUUGAAACACAUUUCAUCAAGAAAAGGAAAACAGGCGGACCGUUCAAAUACAUUAAUAAUACCAUCAAACAACAAAAUCUGACUCCGCUCCGCACUAGCGCAGAGUAGACCAAAGGUACAGCCAUAUAGUUCGGCAAACGAUUUAGUCUGACAAAUGAGGACCCUCCAUAACAGAGAGCAAAAGCCAGACAGAACGAACCGUUGCGGGCGGUUUGAGGGUCGGCCUUGAAGAUACCUUAAUGGUGUAUAUUGAGCUGUACAGAUAAAUUCAAGGCCAGCGCAUGGCACCAUGCCAAGUUCUAUGCCUUUUGGACUUCGUUUGCACUUGCACGGGCAUAUAUGUGUUUACAAUAUAUUUUAGCAUGCAAAAAAAUAAUAGUAAGAUGUCCUAAAAUGAUAAAGUACUCAACAUGAGAAUUAUUCUUCACGUCAAAAUGAACAACUUUGAUUUUUAGAUCAUCUUCAUCCGAGAUCGUAUGCAACCUCCUAAAAUAGUGCAGCGCGGCUAAAACACCAUUUUGCCGAGUGUGACACUCAACAAAGACCCCCUUUUGCCGAGGCACUCGGCAAAGUCUCCCAUUUGCCUAGUAUUUUUGUUUGCCCAGUGUAAUACUGGCAAAGACUAUUUGCCGAGUUUUAUUUUGGCGACACGCAGCAAAGGCCUUGUUUGCCGAGUGCCUGAUGGAAUGCACUAGGCAACGACGCUGAAACUCGGCAAAAAUGAUUUUUCCAAUAUUGUUGUGGCCUAAUUCUUGUACUAUUGGCCGGUUGAUGGCUUUAUUGUCGGGUUCUUCUUGAGCCUUUGUUCUUAAGAAAUAACCCACCCCAGUACACACAUGCGCAGUAUCAGCUUAUCGGCAUAUUUCCAGCCAGUCAAACCGAAAGGCUCAAGCAACUGUGGCAGCACAACAGUAGGAUACAACCUGAAUAAAAAUCAAACCAGCUAAAUAUAAACAGCGUUCUACAGUGUCCAGGGGUAGAGGAACAACAUCUAGCGUCUUCCUGCAAAAAACAAAGAGGCUAAUCCUAAUUAUGGUAGGUCACCGAGAGGUUGACAAGAUUAACUAGAUAUAAAGAGGAAACACUCAGGCAAUCAGCAUAACAAUUUGGGCAGCAGCCUCGGCUGGCAUUGUGAGUCUGGUCAUGCUCGACAGAAGUCCAAUUCGUCGAAAUUAAAAGUCACUCAAAACCGUUGAAUAGCAGUGUGAACAGGGUUCAGUUUGUGUGUUUAAGAACUCGAUGCACAAUUCAGAAUGUAAAAUCUCAGCGGAUGACAAAAUCCGCAAGUUCAUUAUGGAUAGUAAAGCUCAGUGUGUUCAGAAAUUGAUUCAGUCAAGCAAAAAUUCAGACAUACUGGUCGGAACAAAGACAAACAGCACACUAACGGGUUGCACAGCCGAAAGUGAUGAAGUAAACAUCAUCAUGAGUUCAUGACACAAGUUGUGUUGUUCUCUUUCCCUAGAAAAGACGAUAGUAUUCCGUUCUCGGUCAAUGGAACAUCAUGCAUACAGAUUUCACUAAAACAAUAAUCUUGAGAAGUCAACGCUAACGUAUAAUUAUAUUAUAUACACAAAGAGAUAAUCAUUUCGAAUAAGAAAAAAGGAUUAAAUAAACUUUCAAAUGCAUCAAAACAAGACGACACCAAUGUUUAACUUUGUUGGGAUAGAAAGUUCCUUGCUAGAGGUUCUUGCCCUGAAUAAAUGGACAGAGAGAGAUGUAAAAUACAGAUAAUUUCAAACAGAUAUAAUACCCAUUGUCUCACACUUACCCACAUGAGAGGCUAACAAGAACAAGUGACCACAAGAAUUAGUACAUAAGGCAAGGAGAUCAAAUAACUUGGUUCAUUCAUAUUACUAGACAUAACCCAUUGAAGGGUGGCUUACAAGUUCUCACUGCCUAUCCAACAAAACAUUGUUCAAGCCAUAAAAGCACAUGCACCUGGAAGCCAACCAAUAUGAAAAAAAUUUGGAGUAAAUGUAAAACUUGUGCAAGCCACUGCCCAAAACUAGAAGAUCAGGACCAUACCCAACAGCUGACUUUCAUGAAAGUGCCAAGCCAACUUAGCAUAUGUGAAGUUGCUCUGAAAUUCAGUGAGCAUCCGACGGCGGCCAUUCAACAAAACACGGAACAUGAGGUCUUAAAUUUUCCAUGGGGUAAUUUUCAAGGGUGCAGAUAACUUGCAGCUUCUGGGUAUCCAUAUCAUACGACAUAAGUGCCUGCUUCGAUUCCACCCAACCAUUAAGGAAAAUCAGGUUACGUUCUGGAUGGAUUGCAACCAAGGUAAAGUGUCGAGAUAGACAAGGCCUUCCUAGCGGCUCCAGAAUGCUGGCAGUGUGCUUUAAGGUCCACUGGCCACUAGCAUAAUUCUCAAGAACCCAAACUGAUAGCCGGCAACCAUUAUAAUGAUCUAUCUGCAUACCAUGUAAGCGUCCCUGAGAGUGCCCAAUAAAAGUAAACUUAACUUUGGGCGGCUGUUGAAUUGUCCUCCAGGUACUCCCGUACGUCCAUGUCCACCGUAACUAUCAAGUGCAUUGUACUACCCUCCGAGUCAAAUAUGUUAUAGCCGGAAUCAUAACAAGCAAUGAAAUACAGAGUGCCGUCUAAGAAGAAGUAUCCUGAUUCACAACUUCUCCAUUCGUCCCAAAAUAUUUGUCGCGAUGGUGACCCAAUCCGCUUUUGGUGACCCCAUCCACUCGACAUGGAAGCCCAUUCUCUGGCAUCCGAUGAGUAGACCUCUAUCGCGGUAAUAAUGUCGUGAUCAUCAUCGAUGAUGACAAACACCGUGAAGCGAGAGGGAACUGCGGGGUCGAAGCAGAAGCUGAUGGUGCGGUCGUGAACAUAAGAUUCCGGUGGCGCAUGGUGGCUACGAGGCACGGGCAGUGCGGCCCAGAUCUCCUCGGUCGCGGGGUUGCACACGAUGUAUUCUGCGCGCCACGCUCUCAUGCCGUGGCAGAGGAGGAUGCCGCCGCAGCAGUCCAGGAGCUUGACGUUUUCGAAGCCGCGAAGGAAAGGGAGAGAGGGGUCGACCAGCGGCCAGCCUCUACCGGACAGGUUGAUGAAGCGGGUGGUACCGUCGGGGGAAUCGCCAAAGAAGCCGGAGAGCGUCUGGGGCGACCUCCUGCGGACGCCUGGGUCGGAGCAAAGCAGGAGCCACGCCGGCGACACGCACUUGAGGCGGCAUAGCGACCGGUACGGCACCCGUGACAUGAUCUCUCGAAGGAGGUCGUUGGGGAGGCCCUCCAGCGCCUGCUCCUCCUCCUCCUUCCUCGCCUUCUCCAUCCCGUGUCCGGCCUGCGGCUGCUGCAGUUCUGUUGGUUUAGGGUUGAGAUGCGCUCCUUCCGGAUGUCUCUCUUCCAAGAUUAUAGGAAGGAAGAAAAAGGUUCGGCAGCAAGCGGAUGAACGAGACACGGGACGGAUCUGAUAAGGCCUCCUCUCCUAGCCCACCAACAUGGAGGCAUAUCCAUAUGCACAGGCCCAGUUUAUCAUCUUCUUUUUUAGUGCAGCCCACUUUAUUAUUUAAUGGGUGGAUAUGUCCCCCCACAACUACAGAAGAAGAAAAAAAAUCUAAUGGGUGGAUAUGCGCAUGCAUAUGCAUAGCUGGGGGAGUUUGUUUUUACUUCCUCCGUUCCUAAAUAUAAGUCUUUAUAGAAAUUACACUAUAGACUACAUACGAAACAAAAUGAGCGAAUUUACACUUUAAAAUGCAUCUAUAUACAUCUGUAUAUGGUCCAUAGUAAAGUCUCUAUAAAGACUUAUAUUUAGGAACGGAGGGAGUAUAUACUACUAAAAAAUGCAUGAUUGAUCUCGGUGACUGGUGUGCUUUUCGUCCACCGUGGUGAUGCUCCUCCUUUUUGUUGAGAGCAGUGAAGGUUUGUUUCUAGUGUGCUGAGUUCUGUCCCCCUAUGGUGCAAUUUAGGCUCUGUUUUGCCCUUGGACGGUGUUGUAAAAUUCAUGCGGGUAUCCUCUCCCUAUUAGACCAUUCAAAAUCUGCAUUUUAUUCUUGUGAGAGAACGUACAAUUUUUUUUACUGUUUGUCGAUGAGUAAGGAUACCCACUCGGAGUGAGAGACGAUGCAGAUGCACCUGGACAUCAUUACCAACUGUGCCUAAACUUCAGAGUCGAGCAAGCACUAUAAGGAUAAGGGCCAAGAGCGUUAUUUAAGAGAUUCUGUGGUUGUGGGAGAUUUGAGCCUCAUAACUACAUGAUCGCCUGAUUGAAUCAUAUCCCUUGAGACUAACAACCGGCAUGGGACAACCUAUAUAAAGGGUCAAAUCCCCGCUUAAGGACACAAGAUACAUGAAGCAUAUACUUGUAUCAUACAUAGCUCAGUAGAUAGGAAAAACACCAUUAUAAUCAUCCAUGAUCAUCAAUAAAGAUAGGUGGGCAUGCCGUAGAGUUGCCACCCAUCCGGGGCCUGAACCGAGAUGAAACCACGGUGUCACCAUCGUUACGGACGAGACCCCUUCGGGCACCACCCCUUUCUCUCCAUUCUUUCAUGAGAACCUUCAAAUUGUAAAACCGGCAGACCGUUACGUUGACAUUUGGCGCCCACCAUGGGGCAUAGAUGGAUCUCUGUCGUCAACUCUCCCAUUAGAGGAAGUAUCUCCUAAUGGAUACCAUUCCAAAGAACCUUGAGCCAGGGACUCCGCCGACGAUGAUUUCAACAAAAAAGGGUUAUCUAUAGAUGCCAUCACUUUGGAAGAAGAGAUCGACUUUGACACCUUUGAUGAUGACCUCCUCGCUGACAUCCCAAUCACUUCGCCUCGACCCCCUUUUCUGGGUUUUGGAAAAUUUGGGGGCUCAUCAGCCGGGUUUUGAUUUUUGAUUUGAUGCAUAUAGAUCAAGUAUAUUGUUUGGUUGUCAAUUUUUACCUUUGACUGGCAUUAGUAGCUUCUUUUCAAGAGAGUAAGAAACCAAAUAAUGAUAUCCGUAGUUUUUUCUAGAGAGGAUGAUAUUAGUAGUUGGAUAUGACUGUAGGUGCACAAGCACAUACAACAUAUGCGCUCAUGUCCAUCGAGCACUACGGUUAUGUCAUGCUUAUAAAAGGGAUGAGUUUGUUGAAUCAAAAUGAUCUUAGCCAUUCAAUCAUCUAUAUCCAAUGACCCAUGUUGCUCUAAGAGCAUCUCUAACAGUUGUAAGAUGGGUGUUGGUAAAUUCACCACCUAGGACAUAGUGAUUAUGACAUGCAAUAAAUGAGGAUAGAGAGAGAGCGAGCAGAGUUGUACGUUGCUACCUCUUGAGCACUGCGUUGGUUUUCUCUUGAAAAAGAAAGGGUGAUGCAGCAAAGUAGCGUAAGUAUUUCCCUCGGUUUUUUAGAACCAAGGUAUCAAUCCAGUAGGAGGCUAUGCGCGAGUCCCUCGCACCUACACAAAACAAAUAAAUCCUCGCAACCAACGCGAUAAGGGGUUGUCAAUCCCUACACGGUCACUUACGAGAGUGAGAUCUGAUAGAUAUGAUAGGAUAAUAUUUUUGGUAUUUUAUGAUAAAGAUGCAAAGUAAAAUAAAAGCAAAGUAAAAAAGCAACGGAAAUAACUAAAUGUUGAAAGAUUAAUAUGAUGGAAAAUAGACCCGGGGGCCAUAGGUUUCACUAAUGGCUUCUCUCAAGAGCAUAAGUAUUUUACGGUGGGUGGACAAAUUACUGUUGAGCAAUUGACAGAAUUGAGCAUAGUUAUGAGAAUAUCUAGGUAUGAUCAUGUAUAUAGGCAUCAUGUCCGAGACAAGUAGACCGACUCCUGCCUGCAUCUACUACUAUUACUCCACACAUCGACCGCUAUCCAGCAUGCAUCUAGAGUAUUAAGUUCAUAAGAACAGAGUAACGCCUUAAGCAAGAUGACAUGAUGUAGAGGGAUAAAUUCAUGCAAUAUGAUUAAAAAAACAUCUUGUUAUCCUCGAUGGCAACAAUACAAUACGUGCCUUGCUGCCCCUACUGUCACUGGGAAAGGACACCGCCAGAUUGAACCCAAAGCUAAGCACUUCUCCCAUUGCAAGAAAGAUCAAUCUAGUAGGCCAAACCAAACUGAUAAUUCGAAGAGACUUGCAAAGAUAACCAAUCAUACAUAAAAGAAUUCAGAGAAGAUUCAAAUAUUGUUCAUAGAUAAACUUGAUCAUAAACCCACAAGUUGUCGGUCUCAACAAACACACCGCAAAAGAAGAUUACAUCGAAUAGAUCUCCACGAGAGAGGGGGAGAACAUUGUAUUGAGAUCCAAAAAGAGAGAAGAAGCCAUCUAGCAACUAUGGACCCGAAGGUCUGAGGUAAACUACUCACACUUCAUCGGAGAGGCUAUGGUGUUGAUGUAGAAGCCCUCCGUGAUCGAUGCCCCUUCCGGUGGAGCUUCGGAACAGGCCCCAAGAUGGGAUCUCGUGGGUACAGAAGGUUGCGGCGGUGGAAUUAGGUUUUUGGCUCCGUAUCUGAUCGUUUGGGGGUACGUAGGUAUAUAUAGGAGGAAGGAUACGUCGGUGGAGCAACAGGGGGCCCACGAGGGUGGAGGGCGCACCUGGGGGGGUAGGCGCCCCCCCUACCUCGUGGCUUCCCUGUUGGUUGCUUGACGUAGGGUCCAAGUCUCCUGGAUCAUGUUCGUUCCAAAAAUCACGUUCCCGAAGGUUUCAUUCCGUUUGGACUCCGUUUGAUAUCCUUUUUCCGCGAAACUCUGAAAUAGGCAAAAAACGGCAAUUCUGGGCUGGGUCUCCGGUUAAUAGGUUAGUCCCAAAAUAAUAUAAAAGUGAAUAAUAAAGCCCAAUAAUGUCCAAAACAGAAGAUAAUAUAGCAUGGAGCAAUCAAAAAUUAUAGGUACGUUGGAGACGUAUCAAGCAUCCCCAAGCUUAAUUCCUGCUCGUCUUCGAGUAGGUAAAUGAUAAAAACAGAAUUUUUGAUGUGGAAUGCUACUUGGCAUAAUUUCAAUGUAAUUCUUCUUAUUGUGGCAUGAAUGUUCAGAUUUGAUUUGAUUCAAGAUAAAAGUUUAACGUUGACAUAAAAACAAUAAUAUUUCAAGCAUACUAACUAAGCAAUUAUGUCUUAUCAAAAUAACAUAGCCAAAGCAAGUUAUCCCUACAAAAUCAUAUAGUCUGGCUAUGCUCCAUCUUUCUCACACAAAAUAUUCAUAUCAUGUACGACCCCGGUUUUGGCCAAGCAAUUGGUUCAUACUUUUAACGCGCUUCAGCCUUUUCAACUCUUACGCAAUACAUGAGCGCAAGCCAUGGAUAUAGCACUAUGGUGGAAUAAGGUAUAAUGAUAGGGGUUAUGUGGGAAGACAAAAAAGGAGAAAGUCUCACAUCAACGAGGCUAAUCAACGGGCUAUGGAGAUGUCCAUCAAUUGAUGUUAAUGCGAGGAGUAGGGAUUGCCAUGCAACGGAUGCACUAGAGCUAUAAGUGUAUGAAAGCUCAAAAAGAAACUAAGUGGGUGUGCAUCCAACUUGCUUGCUCAAGAAGACCUCGGGCAUUUGAGGAAGCCCAUCAUUGGAAUAUACAAGCCAAGUUCUAUAAUGAAAUUUCCCACUAGUAUAUGAAAGUGACAAAAUGAGAGGCUCUCUAUUAUGAAGAUCACGGUGCUACUUUGAAGCACAAGUGUGGUAAAAGGAUAGUAACAUUGUCCCUUCUCUUUUUUUCUCUCAUUUUUUUCAUUUUAUUUAGUCCGGAGUCUCAUCCCGACACUUGGGGGAACCAUAGUCUCCAUCAUCCUUUCCUCACUUGGGACAAUGCUCUAAUAAUGAUGAUCAUCAUACUUUUAUUUACUUACAACUCAAUAUUUAGAACAAAAUAUGACUCUAUAUGAAUGCCUCCGGCGGUGUACCGGGAUAUGCAAUGAAUCAAGAGCGACAUGUAUGAAAGAAUUAUGAACGGUGGCUUUGCCACAAAUACAAUGUCAACUACAUGAUCAUGCAAAGCAAUAUGACAAUGAUGGAGUAUGUCAUGACAAAUGAAACGGUGGAAAGUUGCAUGGCAAUAUAUCUCGGAAUGGCUAUGGAAAUGCCAUGAUAGGUAGGUAUGGUGGCUGUUUUGAGGAAGAUAUAAGGAGGUUUAUGUGUGAUAGAGCGUAUCAUAUCACGGGGUUUGGAUGCACCGGCGAAGUUUGCACCAACUCUCAAGGUGAGAAAGGGCAAUGCACGGUACCGAAGAGGCUAGAAAAUUACGGAAAGGUAAGUGUGCGUAUAAUUUACGGACUCACAUUAGUCAUAAAGAACUCAUAUACUUAUUGCAAAAAUUUAUUAGCCCUCGAAGCAAAGUACUACUACGCAUGCUUCUAGGGGAAGGGUUAGUAGGAGUUAACCAUCGCGUGAUCCCGACCGCCACACAAAGGAAGACAAUCAACAAAUACUUUUCUCCGACUUCGUUACAUAACGGUUCACCAUACGUGCAUGCUACGGGAAUCACAAACUCCAACACAUGUAUUUUUUAAUUCCAUAAUUACUCAACUAGCACAACUAUGAUAUUACCACCUUUAUAUCUCAAAACAAUUAUCAAGCAUCAAAUUUCUCAUGAUAUUAAUUAAAGCAAUUUUCCAUGCUAUUUUAAGACUCUCAAAAUAAUAUAAGUGAAGCAUGAGAGAUCAAUAGUUCCUAUAAAACAAAUCCACCACCGUGCUCUAAAAGAUAUAAGUGAAGCACUAGAGCAAAACUAUAUAGCUCAAAAGAUAUAAGUGAAGCACAUAGAGUAUUCUAAUAAAUUCCGAAUCAUGUGUGUCUCUCUCAAAAGGUUUGUACAGCAAGGAUGAUUGUGGUAAACUAACAAACAAAGACUCAAAUAAUACAAGACGCUUCAAGCAAAACACAUAUCAUGUGGUGAAUAAAAAUAUAGCUCCAAGUAAAGUUACCGAUGGAAGUAGACGAAAGAGGGGAUGCCUUCCGGGGCAUCCCCAAGCUUUGGCUUUUUGGUGUCCUUAGAUUAUCUUGGGGGUGCCAUGGGCAUCCCCAAGCUUAGGCUCUUGCCACUCCUUGUUCCAUAAUCCAUCAAAUCUUUCACCCAAAACUUGAAAACUUCACAACACAAAACUUAACAGAAAAUCUCGUGAGCUCCGUUAGCGAAAGAAAACAAAAGACCACUUCAAGGUACUGUAAUGAACUCAUUCUUUAUUUAUAUUGGUGUUAAAACUACUGUAUUCCAACUUCUCUAUGGUUUAUAAACUCUUUUACUAGCCAUAGAUUCAUCAAAAUAAGCAAACAACACACGAAAAACAGAAUCUGUCAAAAACAGAACAGUCUGUAGUAAUCUGUAACUAACGCAAACUUCUGGAACUCCAAAACAUCAGCCAAAAUAGGACGACCUAGGCAAUUUGUUUAUUGAUCAGCAGCAAUUGGAAUCAAUAUUUUAUCACGUUCUGGUGAUUUUUAACAAUUGUUUUCGUGAACAGAAAGUUUCUGGAAAUUACAGCAAGAUCAAAUAACUAUCAUCCAAGAAGAUCCUAUAGGUUUAACUUGGCACAAACACUAAAUAAAACAUAAAAACACAUCUAACCAGAGGCUAGAUCAAAUAUUUAUUGAAUAACAGAAAGCAAAAAUAUUGGGUUGUCUCCCAACAAGCGCUUUUCUUUAAAGCCUUUUAGCUAGGCAUUGAUAAUUUUAAUGAUGCUCACAUGAAAGACAAGAAUUGAAGCACAAAGAGAGCAUCAUAAAACACGUGACAAACAUAUCUAAGUCUAACAUACUUCCUAUGCAUAGGCAUCUUAUAGGAAAACAGAUUAUCAAGGCAAGCAAAAACUAGCAUAUGCAAGGAAGCGGAAAGAAACAAUAGCAAUCUCAACAUACGAGAGGUAAUUUAGUAACAUGAAAAUUUCUACAACCAUAUUUUCCUCUCUCAUAAUAAUUACAUGUAGGAUCAUAAGCAAAUGCAACAAUAUAGCUAUCACAAAACAUAUUCUUAACACGAUCCACAUGUAUGCAAAGUUGACACUCUUCCAAAAUAGUGGGAUUAACAUUAACUAAAGUCACGACCUCUCCAAACCCAUUUUUAUCAAAAAUUUCAUAAGAUUGAAUAUUCUCCAAAUAUGCGGGAUCUAAAGUUGACACUCUUCCAAAUCCACUUUCAAUAUUAUUGCAAACGAUAUUAUCAAUCUCAUAUUCAUCAUGGGGAUUAAAUAAAUUUUCAAGAUCAAAAGAAGAAUCGCCCCAAUCAUGAUCAUUGCAACAAGUAGUAGACAUAGCAAAACUAGCAUCCCCAAGCUUAGGGUUUUGCAUAAUAUUAGCACAAUUGACAUUAAGAGAAUUUAUAAUAGCAUCAUUGCAAUCAUGCUUUUUAUUCAAAGAUCUAUCGUGAAUCACUUCAUAAAGCACUUCAUCACAAUUUUCAGAUUCACGGAUUUCAAGCAAAACCUUAUAAAGAUAAUCUAGUGCACCCAAAUCACUAGGAAUUGGUUCAUCAUAAUUGGAUCUCUUCAAAAGAUUGGCAAGCGGAUGGGGAUCCAUAGAUCUUAGCUUCUCUGUUUAGGAAUAAAUACUCAACUAUUUCAACCAAACGGGCAAACGAGCCAAGUAAGACAGCAAGGCAAACGAAAAGACGAAUAGAAAAAGUGCGAGUAAAACGGCAAGGGUGAAGUUGGGGAGAGGAAAACGAGAGGCAAAUGGCAAAUAAUGUAAUGCGGGAGAUAAGGGUUUGUGAUGGGUACUUGGUAUGUUGACUUUUGCGUAGACCUCCCCGGCAACGGCGCCAGAAAUCCUUCUUGCUACCUCUUAAGCACUGCGUUGGUUUUCCCUUGAAGAGGAAAGGGUGAUGCAGCAAAGUAGCGUAAGUAUUUCCCUCAGUUUUUGAGAACCAAGGUAUCAAUCCAGUUGGAGGCUACGCGCGAGUCCCUCGCACCUACACAAAACAAAUAAAUUCUCGCAACCAACGCGAUAAGGGGUUGUCAAUCCCUACACGGCCACUUACGAGAGUGAGAUCUGAUAGAUAUGAUAGGAUAAUAUUUUUGGUAUUUUAUGAUAAAGAUGCAAAGUAAAAUAAAAGCAAAGUAAAAAGCAACGGAAAUAACUAAGUGUUGAAAGAUUAAUAUGAUGGAAAAUAGAUCCGGGGGCCAUAGGUUUCACUAGUGGCUUCUCUCAAGAGCAUAAGUAUUUUACGGUGGGUGGACAAAUUACUGUUGAGCAAUUGACAGAAUUGAGCAUAGUUAUGAGAAUAUCUAGGUAUGAUCAUGUAUAUAGGCAUCACGUCCGAGACAAGUAGACCGACUCCUGCCUGCAUCUACUACUAUUACUCCACACAUCGACCGCUAUCCAGCAUGCAUCUAGAGUAUUAAGUUCAUAAGAACAGAGUAACGCCUUAAGCAAGAUGACAUGAUGUAGAGGGAUAAAUUCAUGCAAUAUGAUAAAAAAAAACCCAUCUUGUUAUCCUCGAUGGCAACAAUACAAUACGUGCCUUGCUGCCCCUACUGUCACUGGGAAAGGACACCGCAAGAUUGAACCCAAAGCUAAGCCCUUCUCCCAUUGCAAGAAAGACCAAUCUUGUAGGCCAAACCAAACUGAUAAUUCGAAGAGACUUGCGAAGAUAACCAAUCAUACAUAAAAGAAUUCAGAGAAGAUUCAAAUAUUGUUCAUAGAUAAACUUGAUCAUAAACCCACAAUUCAUCGGUCUCAACAAACACACCGCAAAAGAAGAUUACAUCGAAUAGAUCUCCACGAGAGAGGGGGAGAACAUUGUAUUGAGAUCCAAAAAGAGAGAAGAAGCCAUCUAGCUUAUAAUUAUGGACCCGAAAGUCUGAGGUAAACUACUCACACUUCAUCGGAGAGGCUAUGGUGUUGAUGUAGAAGCCCUCCGUGAUCGAUGCCCCUUCCGGCGGAGCUCCGAAACAGGCCCCAAGAUGGGAUCUCGUGGGUACAGAAGGUUGCGGCGGUGGAAUUAGGUUUUUGGUUCCGUAUCUGAUCGUUUGGGGGUACGUAGGUAUAUAUAGGAGGAAGGAGUACGUCUGUGGAGCAACAGGGCGCCCACGAGGGCGGAGGGCGCGCCUAGGGGGGGGGGGGGUAGGCGCGCCCCCUACCUCGUGGCUUCCCUGUUGGUUGCUUGACGUGGGGUCCAAGUCUAGUGGAUCAUGUUCGUUCCAAAAAUCACGUUCCCGAAGGUUUCAUUCCGUUUGGACUCCGUUUGAUAUUCUUUUUCUGCGAAACUCUGAAAUAGGCAAAAAAACAGCAAUUCUGGGCUGGGCCUCGGUUAAUAGGUUGGUCCCAAAAAUAAUAUAAAAGUGAAUAAUAAAGCCCAAUAAUGUCCAAAACAGAAGAUAAUAUAGCAUGAAGCAAUCAAAAAUUAUAGAUACGUUGGAGACGUAUCAUACGUAAAAAUUAACCAACAACACUUGCACAAGCUUGAAGGUGAAAUAGAGAGCAAUUACAAUUGUUUUUCACCUUCUAUUAGAAGGCUUAGAUAUAACUCAUUUGAAUAGUUGUAUGUUAGCUGGUUGGUCGAUAACAUAAUCAUUUUACAAAUAAGACUUACACACAACCUGUUGGAGAUGCCCAAACAGUGGCGGAGACAGGGGGACCAGCAGGGGCCCUGCCCCCCCUAACAUCCCUGAUUUAGUCCUAAUUUGGAGAUGAACAAUGUAUAAUUUAGGUAGAAUACAUGUAUUACGGUAAUUUGGCCCCUGUUAUCAAAAUUUUGAGUCAUUUGCCCCUCUGUUUUUUAAUUCCUGGCUCCGCCACUGUGCCCAAAUGAUGUGUGCAACACACAACCGUCGAUCUAAGGCUGCUUGUAAUGGGUAGUAUCAUAAGUUAGCAUCAUGCAUAUGAUAUUAGUGUAUGAUGCUACCUCCCUAAUUUGUAGUAUCGUAUAUACACAUAUUUUAAAGUGUAUAUUCAUCCAUUUUACUUCAUAUGUAGUCCAUAAUGGAAUAUCUAAUAACUGCAAUUAUCCGGAACCAGUAUUAGUUGCAUUAACUGUAGAUAAUCUUGGAAAUAGCAUUAGUUACAGAAUCAAUCGCGGCUAUUUGGGGACAACAUUAAUCUCAUGAAUGACAACCAAUAUUGGAAACAACAUUAGCUGCCACGCAAAGAAGCUGAGACCAAAAGACGCAACACCUCUUCGAGCGAUGUCACUUCCACCAAUCGAAAAUGGCCAUGACAAUACCGACACACUUCAUACCUCGUAUCCACAUAUAUCUAAACGCUUUUAUAUUUUUUUACGAAGGAAGUACAAAAUGUCUUGCCGGGUCCAUCACAUCACAUCACACGGAUCGGAGAGGCGAGGCGACGGCUUCUUCCGAGGAUGUUUCCUCGGCACCGCAGCGGCGGCGGAGAACCGGCGCCCAUCGCCUACUCUACGAGCAGCACCACGUAAAACGCCAUCCACGCCACACGUGCCGGUCAAAACCGGCUCGCUGACGCCCCGGGCCCACCCGCCGGCGCCGGGUCGACGCAUCCGCCUCGCCUCACCAACUAGGCUGGCGCGCCCUAUCACCAACCCACACUGACAACUUAUUAAUACGGCCACAUCGCCGCCUGUCCCAGCCAGCCAGUCCAACCCGCCCGGCGUCGAACACCCCGCGCGCACACCGCCGCCGCCGUCGACCCCUUCCUCCCUCCCCUGAUGGCGUUCGCGCUCAAGGCCUCCGCCUCCCCCGCCCUCGCCGCGUCCUCGGCGGCGGCGGCGUCGUCCCCCUCGUUCUCGGCCGCCUCCGCGGUGCCGAGGGGCCGCGCCGCCGCGGCGAGGAGGGUCGCGCUCCGCGGGGCCGCGCGCCCAGUGGCCGCCAUCAGGGCGUCCGCCACCGCCGCCGCCCCCGCCCCCGCCGUGGCCGGGGACAAGCGCACCAUCUCGGGCACUUUCACCAACCUCAAGGAGCAGGGCAAGGUAAAGAUAAUUCUUACCGCCCCGAAGUCUGCGCGUGUUUUGAUUCCGUCGAUUAGGCCGCGGAGGAUGGCCAUCCUCAUGGUGCCAGUAAAAGAUAAUUCUAUUUUAGUAUAAUGGUUGUCUUAGUGGCCAUGUUUACUUUACUCUGCAACUUGUAGUUAUCCAUGUGUUCGUCUGUGCUAAAAGAUUAAUAUAUACAGUACUAAAUAGAUCCCUCAGAUGUGAUAUUUAUAUGUUACCUGCUCUGUGAUUCGAUCUGUUUCCACCAUAACUAGAUACAGCUGCCAUAAUUUUUGUGUUCUGAUGGUGUUUGCAACUUUCAGAUCGCGUUCAUCCCGUUCAUCGUCGCCGGUGACCCCGACCUGGCGACCACGGCGAAGGCGCUGAAGGUUCUCGAUGCCUGUGGUUCUGAUGUGAUCGAAUUGGGCGUGCCGUACUCUGACCCGUUGGCUGAUGGCCCUGUUAUUCAGGUACGCUACAAUGUUACAUACACAUCUAGUAUUGUCUUCUGUCUGUAGUAUUCAUGUUGUUCAGCUUACACAUUUUAACAUUAAUUUUUUAUUGCAUCAUUUUUAGGCUUCAGCUACACGCGCGCUGACAAAGGGCACCACAUUUGAGGAUGUUAUCUCCAUGGUGAAAGAGGUGGUGCCUGAGCUGUCCUGCCCUCUUGCGCUUUUCACAUAUUACAACCCGAUUCUGAAGCGUGGUGUCGCCAACUUCAUGUCCGUUGUAAAAGAAGCCGGUGUACAUGGUAAUGCCCUUAUAGUUUUCCAUAGGUUCAGUGAUGUUCUUCUACAUUGAAAUGCCAUUUCUACUCAUAUGGUCGCCUUGUUAAUUAUCUGAAUUCUGAAACAUGGCAUUGUUUAUCCUGCAUAUCUUAGUUUUACUAGUGCUGUAGUGCAUAAGGUUUCAGGUAGACGAUUGAGGAUUAAAAAGUUGUGUAACAGCAUAGACAGAUACGCACAACUAUAUUUUACACGACGCACAGUGAUAUUAGCAAUGUGGCACUUUCUUGCUGUUGUAAAGUUAUGUUCUCAUUGUAACAACCAAGUUACAUAUUUAUUACCAUGCUGCAGGUCUUGUGGUACCUGAUGUUCCUCUGGAAGAGACAGAUAUUUUGAGAAGCGAGGCUGCCAAGAACAACCUAGAGCUGGUAGGCUCUCUUUGGCAUUAUCAUCUAUCAUGCAUCCUACCUUUAUAACUAUUUCCUUUUAUCCAUUUUUGUGUCUAAACCAAAUAGGGUUGAAUAUUAUCAUUAACUCUCUAUCUUUGAAGAAAGACCCUGUUUGAUAUUUAUUAUUUAAGCGCUGAUGCAGAAUGACAAGUUAUGCUUAUUAGCUCAUUGCUUUGCUGUAAUUUUAAACUUCGUAAUACUCGUCAGGUUCUGAUUAGUCUGGAAUAUUGAAGAUGCCUCUUUUGUUUGUGCAGCUGUUUACAUCAAUUUUGUUAUGUCUUAUAAGUUAUUUCAUUUGCAUGAAUUCCUGCAGGUGUUACUAACAACACCAACUACACCAACAGAGAGAAUGGAGAGAAUUACAAAGGCUUCAGAAGGAUUUGUUUAUCUUGUAAGUGUCCAGAACUCCAAAUUAUUUUUGCUCCCUUAAACUCUGUUCUGGUAUAGCACAUUCUUCUUAUUGCUAAUAAGAAAGUUCUCAUAAUGGCCAGCGUAGUGUUUUUAUAACUUAACAAGAGUACGGUAUUUUGUCAUUUUAAAAUUUGUUGACGGAAUUUGUCAUCUGAAGUUGACUUCAUAAACAUAAGAAAGGCACAUGCUUCUGCCCUGUCAUGUUUUUUUCUCUUCAACAGAGGCUGGCUUGACAUGCUUUUGUGCUGACAUGUAUCCUGGUGCUAGCUGUGCUAAUUGCUAAACUGAAAAUAUAAUAAAAUGUACGCUAAAUGGAAUUGACAUUGUUGAGGUUGAGCAUUUGUGAUUCUACUGAAUCUGUUUGAGCAUAACCAGUUACAUGAUAUGCUACUUGCUAAGUUGCAGUAAUAUUUGCUAUUCAGGUAAGCACUACUGGAGUUACUGGCACCCGUGCAAACGUAAGUUUCAAGGUGGAAGCUCUUCUCAAGGAAAUCAAGCAGGUUUGCUAAGUCUUUUCUUUAUUGUCAACUCAGGAACUAGUUUUGGUCUGCUAGCUUAUUGUGCAAUGCACAUCUUGUUCAACGAUGCUUAUAGAACAUUGUCUGCUUGUUAUUAUAGGUCACAGAUAAAGCUGUUGCUGUUGGUUUUGGAGUGUCGACUCCAGAGCAGGUGAAGCAGGUAAAUCAUAUCCAGCAACUCUCCUGCUCAGCAAAAUAUCUUGUUUUAUACUCCUUUGUUUGCGCAAUCUUUGACAAGCUUGCUGCUUCAAUAUUGUCUACAAAAAUUGCAGAUCGCGGGCUGGGGUGCAGAUGGUGUGAUCGUCGGUAGCGCAAUGGUGAGACAGUUGGGCGAAUCUGGUUCUCCUGAAGAAGGAUUGAAGAAGCUAGAAGAAUUAGCCAAGAGCCUAAAGGCCGCAUUUCCAUGAAACAUGCAUUUUUAUCUUUUGUGUGGGAAAUCGCAUGAAUACCAUAUAUAUUUGUUUUAGUUCCGUUUUACAGUGUAGCAUUACAUUCCUGGCUUUAGAUUUUGAAGGAUCCUGUUGUGUGAUAGAAUAAUUGUACCCAUGUGUUGAAUGCUCGGGUGAAUAAAUUAAUUGAGGCUAGUGUUACAAAUUAUGCAAAAGAAAGCAUCUUUCUGUCCCAGUACCAUUGCCGUUUCAAUGAUUUCCUGGGUUAUUAUUUUUCUGAACAGCAUUCGUCACUGUUUAUCAUUUUAUCAAACUAUUACAUUCCAGCUUAAUAUUCCUGUCAUUUAUUUGUUUUGCUAUAAAAACCCCAACACUAAUUUUUGUUCAAGUUAGAAAUACUACUAGGUUGAGCAAGAACUGUCAUGUUCAAGUCACUUCCUGGAUGACAGAUCUUUCUGGUUUGAUAUACCUAUACCUUUUCUUUUUUUUACUAUAAAUACAAUUGGAUGCCAAUUUACUUGUUGGGUUAAAUAGCCAGGAAGAUUCGUCGUCUAGUUAGUAAAAUCACUUGGGCAGUACACUCCUGCAAAAAUCAAACAACCAAUGAAAAUCAAUUUACUGGGAAAUGCCAGACUGUUAUUUUCUUGGGUUCGCAUCAAACGACUCAGAUGAAGACCACAUAGCUCAUGUUACCUAAUGUUUUGUUGUGGUACUGUGGUACAUGGAUAAUUAAUACUACAAUGUCGAGUCCUCAAAAUUGAGAUGAAUCUGAAGAAGCACUAGAUUAUGAAACAGGGUGAAGGUCUGAAGUCAAGCGUAGCCAUUUUUCGUUUCUUUCUUCUCCUUCUGUCAAGAUUCAAAUACUCAUCAAGAUAAAGGGCUGUCCACCACCUGCCAUGUGGUAAGCGUAGCCAUUUUAACUAUACUAUGUUCAUGAGGGGUUUCCUUGACCUGCAGGGUCAAUUCUGAUCGUCCUAAAUAAAUUAGAAAAAUUCCAUUUUAGAUAAAUUCUUUUUUCUUUUUGGGAGCUCAAAACUUGGACCGCGGGCUUUCAGAAAUUCUUAUGCCUGCUUUCAUAAUUUGAAACUUUCGGGAUUGUCAAGAAACUUUCAUGAGUUUUUGAGCUUUUGAAACUUAUGUUUUAGAAACUUCAUAAUUUUAGAAACCUAUCUUUUAGAAACUUUCAUGAAUUUGUAAGGUUAACAACCUGCUUCAUAAACUUUCAGAAAUUGAUUCAGUCGGGCAACCACCUGGAUUGACAGUAAGAUGAUGGUAUAACAGUCUCGUCAGGAGCUCGAGGCAGAACAAUAAUAAUGGUCAUGGACAGUUUACUCGGAACAAAGGAUAAACAACACACUGUGGGGCGUUCAGAGCGAUGCUGAUGCACACUGAACCUGCAUGGCAUCACACAAACAAUCUUCACUACAAACCAGUGGUGACACUGAAUGAGUUGUGCAGUUGUGCUAUUCUCUUCCCCUAAAAGGCAAAUAAAAUAUAACCCUGUUCUCAGUCUAGCACGUAUUGGUGUUGUUUGACACCAUGCAAGCAGAUUUCGCCCAAGGGAUCUCCCAGUCUGCAUGUACAACAACUUAGACAAGUUGAUGCAAUAUUCCAAAAUACUCCCUCUGUUCCUAAACAUUUGUCUUUCUAGAUAUUUCAAAUGAACUACUACAUACGGAUGUAUAUAGACAUAUUUUAGAGUAUUGAUUCACUCAUUUUGCUCCGAGUGUGGUCAUUUGUUGAAAUAUGUAGAAACACUAGUAGAAAAGAGGGCUUUGGUUCAGGCCGGGUCAGCCCAGGUUAGCCCAUUAGUCCCGGUUCAGUCCAGAACCGGGACCAAUGGGGGCACUGGUCCUGGUUCGUGAGGCCAGGGGCCUGCCGGGCCUCGUGGGUGCAUUGGUCUCGGUUCGUCUGGCCCCUUUGGUCCCGGUUGGUGGGACGAACCGGGACCAAUGGGCCUCGCUCCUGGCCCACCACCAUUGGUCCCGGUUGGUGGCUUGAACAGGGACCACAGGCUGCCCUUUAGUCCCGGUUCAUGCCACGAACCGGGACCAAUGAGGUGCCUAUAUAUACCCCUCGCCCGCGAGCAGAGCACUCCAGUGCUAUGUUUUUCUCUGGCCGGCGAGGGGAGGGCUUUGUGGUGCUCUAGCUCACCUCCUAUGCACAUGAGGUGUUCGAUGAAAUGCCCGAGCCACACUAGUUAAGCUUUCUCCUCUCGAAGCUCGUCCUCAAAGCUCCAUUUUCCUCGAGAUUUGUCUAGGUUUAGCGGCCCGUCACGUCCCAUUCCCGUCUUCACCGCCGUCGAUCGCCUCCGCCGAUCUCGUCGCCGGCACCACCGUGGUGAGCCUCUUGUUCUUAUCUUUUUCUGAAAGAAAAAAAUUCUUACUUUAGAUAGAUACUUGUCUAAUUUUCUUACUAUUUUAUUGCUUGUUAUUAUAUAGUGCGAUGGUUUUGGUAUGCGCCCCCGUCGGCCCUCGUCCUGUCUAUGAUUCGUAUGUGGUAUAUAUUAUCUUUAUAACUAUUGGUUCAUUUAUUGUUUAUGAAAAUUAUGCCGACCAACGUGACAUAGAUUUUAUUUAUCUAGGAGGUAUGUGAACCGGAAAUUCCAACCGACCCUAUUGUCAAGAGGUUAAAUUUAGUUGAAGAAGAAAACAAUUUCUUGAAGGAAAAAAUAAAAAAAAUUGAGGAGGAGAAGAUGAUAUUGGAGUUGCAUGUUGCGGAUGUCGUCGAUGAUCACAAGACCAAGAUGGAUGCAAUGCGCUUGAAGAUUAGAAAGAUUAGAAAAUAUGCCAUUCAUACUGAGGCUUGGUAUCAUUAUACCGUUGGAUCAAUUGUUACCUUGGUUGCGAUUAUGAUCGCAUUUGUUUUCGCAUUGAAAUGUUUUACAUAGUUUCAAUGUAUGGUUUAAUUAAUUAGAUGCUCUGGAGAGCUAUAUGUUGUUAGAUGAGUACUAUGUAUGUACUUUGGUUUUAAUGUGAUGAUGAACUUCUAUUAAUUUGAUCACUUAAUUAUCUAUUCAUGGUGUUCUGUAAUGGUUUUUGACACACUUAAUUAUAUAUAAUGCACGCAGAUGAACCGGCAAUGGAUGUACGGUGACAGACACACCUCCGAGUACAUUAAGGGCGUGCAUGAUUUUCUCGAAGUGGCAGAGGCAAACAAGCAGAAUGGUUUUAUGUGUUGUCCAUGCCCUAAAUGUGGGAAUACGAAGUCUUACUCUGACCGGAAAAUCCUUCACACCCACCUGCUUUACAAGGGUUUCAUGCCACACUAUAAUGUUUGGACGAGGCACGGAAAAAUAGGGGUUAUGAUGGAAGACGGCGAAGAAGAAGAGGACGAUGACAACUAUGUGCCCCCUGAAUACGGUGAUGCUGCAACGGGGGAAGCUGCUGAAGAUCAAGAGGAACCAGACGAUGUGCCCAAUGAUGCUGCAACGGGGGAAGCUGCUGAAGAUCAAGAGGAACCAGUGCCCGAUGAUGAUGAUCUCCGCCGGGUCAUUGUCGAUGCAAGGACGCAAUGCGAAAGUCAAAAGGAGAAGCUGAAGUUCGAUCGCAUGUUAGAGGAUCACAAAAAAAGGUUGUACCCCAAUUGCGAAGAUGGCAACACAAAGCUCGGUACCAUACUGGAAUUGCUGCAGUGGAGGCAGAGAAUGCUGCGCCUGACAAAGGAUUUGAGAAGCUAUUGAAAAUAUUGAAGAAGAAGCUUCCAAAGGAUAACGAAUUGCCCGACAGUACAUACGCAGCAAAGAAGGUCGUAUGCCCUCUAGGAUUGGAGGUGCAGAAGAUACAUGCAUGCCCUAAUGACUGCAUCCUCUACCGCAGUGCGUACAAGGAUCUGAACGCAUGCCCGGUAUGCGGUGCAUUGCGGUAUAAGAUCAGACGAGAUGACCCUGGUGAUGUUGACGGCGAGCCCCCAGGAAGAGGGUUCCUGCGAAGGUGAUGUGGUAUGCUCCUAUAAUACCACGGUUGAAAUGUCUGUUCAGAAACGAAGAGCAUGCCAAGUUGAUGCAAUGGCACAGUGAGGACCGUAAGAAAGACGGGAAGUUGAGAGCACCCGCUGACGGGUUGCAGUGGAGAAAAAUCGAGAGAAAGUACUGGGCUGAGUUUGCAGCUGACCCAAGGAACGUAUGGUUUGGUUUAAGCGCGGAUGGCAUUAAUCCUUUCGAGGAGCAGAGCAGCAAUCACAGCACCUGGCCCGUGACUCUAUGUAUGUAUAACCUUCCUCCUUGGAAGUGCAUGAAGUGGAAGUUCAUUAUGAUGCCAGUUCUCAUCCAAGGCCCUAAGCAACCCGGCAACGCCAUUGAUGUGUACCUAAGGCCAUUAGUUGAAGAACUUUUACAGCUGUGGAAUGGAAAUGGUGUACGUACGUGGGAUGAGCACAAACAGGAGGAAUUUAACCUGCACGCGUUGAUGUUUGUAACCAUCAAUGAUUGGCCCGCUCUCAGUAACCUUUCAGGACAGACAAACAAGGGAUACCAUGCAUGCACGCACUAUUUAGACGACACUGAAAGUAUAUACCUGGACAAAUGCAGGAAGAAUGUGUACCUGGGCCAUCGUCGAUUUCUUCCGACCAACCAUCAAUAUCGAAAGAAAGGCAAGCAUUUCAAAGGCGAGGCAGAUCACCGGAAGAAGCCCGCCAUGCGUACCGGUGAUCACGUACUUGCUAUGGUCAAUGAUUUACACGUAAUCUUUGGAAAGGGUCCCGGCUGUGACGCCCCCGAUUUGACCGUACACUAAUCAUGCACGCAAAUGUGUACGUUCAAGAUCAGGGACUCACAGGAAGAUAUCACAACACAACUCUAAAACAUAAAUAAGUCAUACAAGCAUCAUAAUACAAGCCAGGGGCCUCGAGGGCUCGAAUACAAGUGCUCGAUCACAGACGAGUCAGCGGAAGCAACAAUAUCUGAGUACAGACAUAAGUUAAACAAGUUUGCCUUAAGAAGGCUAGCACAAACUGGGAUACAGAUCAAACGAGGCGCAGGCCUCCUGCCUGGGAUCCUCCUAACUACUCCUGGUCGUCGUCAGCGGGCUGCACGUAGUAGUAGGCACCUCCAGUGUCGUAGGUGUCGUCGUCGACGGUGGCGUCUGGCUCCUGGACUCCAGCAUCUGGUUGCGACAACCAGAUAGAAAGGAAAGGGGGAAAAGAGGGAGAGAAGCAACCGUGAGUACUCAUCCAAAGUACUCGCAAGCAAGGAGCUACACUACAUAUGCAUGGGUAUAUGUGUAAAGGGGCAUAUUAGUGGACUGAACUGCAGAAUGCCAGAAUAAAAGGGGGAUAGCUAGUCCUGUCGAAGACUACGCUUCUGGCCAUCUCCAUCUUGCAGCAUGUAGAAGAGAGUAGAUUGAAGUCCUCCAGGUAGCAUCGCAUAGCAUAAUCCUACCCGGCGAUCCCCUCCUCGUCGCCAUGUUAGAGAGCGAUCACCGGGUUGUAUCUGGCACUUGGAAGGGUGUAUUUUAUUCAGUAUCCGGUUCUAGUUGUCAUAAGGUCAAGGUACAACUCCGGGUCGUCCUUUUACCGAGGGACACGGCUAUUCGAAUAGAUAAACUUCCCUGCUGGGGUGCACCACAUAACCCGACACGCUCGAUCCCAUUUGGCCGGACACACUUUUCUGGGUCAUGCCCGGCCUCGGAAGAUCAACACGUCGCAGCCCCACCUAGGCUCAACCGAGAGGUCAACACGCCGGUCUAAAUCCUAUGCGCGCAGGGGUCUGGGCCCAUCGCCCAUUGCACACCUGCACGUUGCGAGGGAGGCUGGAAGCAGACCUCGCCUAGUGGCGUUCCAGUCCAAUCCGGCGCGCGCCGCUCCGUCGCUGACGUCAAAAAGAGCUUCGGCUGAUACCACGACACCGAGAUACCCAUAACUACUCCCGCGUAGAUGGUUAGUGCGUAUAGACCAAAUGGCCAGACUCAGAUCAAAUACCAAGAUCUCGUUAAGCGUGUUAAGUAUCCGCGAACGUCGACCAGGGCCAGGCCCACCUCUCACCUAGGCGGUCUCAACCUGCCCUGUCGCUCCGCCACAAAGAUCCACUUGCGGAUACUCCUACGGGCCGACCCAACUUUAGUCAUCACAUGUGUGAUGUAUAUAGUAUAUAAGUAUAUACCCGUGAUCACCGCCCAAGUGAUCACGGCCCGAUAGUAUAGCACAGCAGACGGACAAGGAUGUAGGGCCACUGAUGGAAAACUAGCAUCCUAUACUAAGCAUGUAGGAUUGCAGGUAAAGGUAACAACAGUAGAAGCAAGGGCAAGCUAUGCAUCAGUAUAGGAUUAACGGAAAGCAGUAACAUGCUACACUACUCUAAUGCAAGCAGUAUAGAGAAGAAUAGGAGAUAUCUGGUGAUCAAGGGGGGGCUUGCCUGGUUGCUCUGGCAAGUAGGAGGGGUCGUCAACUCCGUAGUCGAACUGGGCAGCAGCAGUGUCGGUCUCGUAGUCUACCGGAGAGAAGAGGGGGGAAGAAACAGUAAAUACAAUGCAAACAUAAGCAUGGCCCGGUAGCGAUGCCUCUCACGCGGAUGGGAGAUGCGUGACAUGACAAUGAGCGGUGCUAGGUGUGUCCUAACGCGGCAGUAGGUGGUACCGGCGAAGGAGGGGAACAUCCGGGAAAGUAUUCCCGAUGUUUCGCGUUUUCGGACAGACGGACCGGAGGGGGAAAGUUGCGAGUUCGAUAGGUUAGGGAAGUGUGGUGGACGAACGGGCUGCGUAUCCGGAUUCGUCUCGUCGUUCUGAGCAACUUUCAUGUACAAAGUAUUUCCAUCCGAGUUACGGUUUAAAAGAUAUGAUUUUCUAAAGACUUACUAAUUUCUGGAAUUUAAUUAAUCAUUUAAUUUAUUUUGAAAUUGGAUUUAUGACAUCAGCAUGAUGUCAUGCUGACAUCAGCAGUCAACAGGGGUUGACUAAGUCAAACUUACCAGUGGGUCCUACCUGUCAUAGACAGUGGACUAACAGAAGUUUAAACUAACUAAUUUUAGAUUAGUUAACUACUGGACCCCACCUGUCAUUGUCUAAUCAACUAAACUAAUUAAUUUUAAUUAUUAAAAUGUUUUAAUUACAGGAUUAAGCGGUGGGGCCCGCACGUCAGUGGCUUGGCCCUGCCCAGUCAGCAGUUGACUGGGUCAACCCAGUCAACUGGGACCCACGGGGCCCACUGGCAGUGGCUCUGGGGUGGCCCCAGGCCAGCCACGUCGGCGGCCGGCGGCGGAGUUGGCUCCGGCGAGCCAAAACGCGGCGGAGGGUGCGGCCGUGCGGCGGGAUUCGCCAUUCGGCGGCCGAAAUGGAUGCGGCCGACGCCGUUCGAACGGGAGCGGCGAGCCGCAGCUAAUCGCGGUGGUGGUCGGCCCCGGGGCGGCCGGAAACGGCGUCGGCGGCCUUCGGGCGCUCGACGGCGAUGGGGCUUCGGGACACGGCUUGCCGCGCGGAGCGGCUCUACGGGCGGCUGGUGCUCGCGCGCAUCCACUGCCGCAGUCGGCAGUAGGCGGGAGGCGACGAGCUCACCGGAGACGAGCUCGCGGCGGCGGCCGAAGCACUGGCCCGUCGAGGACGGCGCCAGGGGGAGCGGGAGGAGUAGCGGGCGCGUGCAGUGGGCGCGGGCGGAGGUGCUGAGCACGGCGGGGUGGUCGACCGCGAGCUCUGCGGGCCGUGGCCAUGGCGGCGAGCACCACCGCGGCGACGAGCUCGGGCACGACGGUGGGAGCAGCUACGGGGCAAGAAGAGAAGCGCGAGGAGAGGGGAGAAGGGGGCGGAGCUCACAGUGCUCCUGCAGGUGUGCUCAAGCGUGCUCGAGGAGGGCUUGGUGCGGCGGAAUCGGCGGCGAAGCUCGUCGGAGCAGAGGAGGAAGACAGCGACGUCGUGGGCGUUGCGGUGGCUCCGAGCUCCAACGGAGUGCACCAGUCGAAGCAGCGGACGACGGCGGACCUCGGGGACACAGUGGAGCAGCGAGGUGGGCACAGUGGCCGUGGCUAGGCCGGAGGCAUGGCGGCGGUGGCGUUCGGAUGCGAAGGGGAAGGAGAGGGCGAGGUGGAUCCGAGGGAGGAGGGAGAGGCGCAGGAACCGAGGGCGAGAGUGGGGGCGAGUGGGAGGCGUGAUCGAGGAGGCGGGGCGUGGCGGCCUUAUCCUCCCCCGUCGCCGGCGAGGGGGUGCGGCGGGGACGUGCCCUGUUCCGACCCCGGUCGGGGGAACAGGGAAGGGGAGCGAACGACCGAGGGAGGCGGGCUGGCCUGCUGGGCCAGCUGGCUCGGGUGGGCCGAAGCCCAAGUGGGGCAGGGGCUUUCUCUCUCUCUGCUUUUCCUUUUUCUUUUGUAUUGUUUUGUUUUCUGUUUUCUUUUCUUUAUCUAUUUUCUUUUCUAUUUUAUUCUCUUAAUUCCUGUUUUAUAAAAUAUAAAUACAACUCCUAAAUUAAUGUUAUAAUUUAUUCUACCGCCCCAAAAGUUUGACACCUAAUUAAAAUAGUUUGCAUUAUUAUUAUAUUUUAAAAGGCAUUUAAUUAAUUGUCAUAGCUGCUGUUUUAAUUACUUUAGAGCCUUUAAACAUUUUAUAAAAUUGUGUUUUCUCCACAAUAAUCACCUAUGCAUUAUUUGGCAACACCCCAACAUUUUAGUUUUAAUAUUUGAAAAUCUUUACCGUUUGACUUUAUUUUAAGUUUGAAUUUUGAAUCGAUUUUGAAAUAACACGAGAUUAACCAGUAACCGGGGUGACGUGGCAUCAUUAGCGUGGGAUUACUGUAGCAUGAUUAUCCGGGCAUUACAAAUCUCCUCCACUACAAGAAAUCUCAUCCCGAGAUUUAGGAGGUAGAAGGAAAAAGCGCGGGGUAUUCUUCGCGCAGACGAUCCUCUCGUUCCCAAGUGGCUUCAUCUUCAGAAUGGUGCGACCACUGGAACUUGAUCGCCUUCUGACGUGUGCGGUGUUCAGCUUGGUCGAGAAUGCGGACCGGGUGCUCUUUAUAGGAGAGGUCCUGCUGCAAUUCGAGCACUUCAUGAUCCACUGCUUGGAUUGGGUCCUUGAAGCAACGGCGGAGCUGUGACACAUGGAACACAUCGUGAACCUGAGAAAGGUUCGGCGGAAGCUCCAGUUGGUAUGCCACUUUUCCACGCCUUUCAAGAAUAGUGAAUGGGCCAAUAUAUCGAGGAGCUAGUUUGCCCUUGAUUCCAAAGCGGUGAGCACCCUUCAUUGGUGUGACUCGAAGAUACGCCUUUUCGCCAGGUUGAUAGACCAUGUCUUUAUGAUGACGGUCAAACUGACUCUUCUGACGUGACUGAGCAGUCUUGAGAUUCUCACGAAUAAUGCGGACUUGUUCUUCGGCAUGUUGGAUAAUAUCCGGACCGAAGAGUGGAUGUUCCCCAGUUUCUGACCAGUUCAGAGGGGUUCGGCACUUUCGUCCAUAUAACACUUCGAAGGGGGCCAUCUUCAGACUAGCUUGAUAGCUAUUAUUAUAAGAGAACUCAGCAUACGGGAGAGAUUCCUCCCAUUUCUUGCCGAAGGAAAUAACACAAGCUCGAAGCAUGUCUUCGAGAACUUGGUUGACGCGUUCAACUUGCCCUUGCGACUGAGGAUGAAACGCAGUACUGAAUGACAGAUGAGUUCCCAUAGCUUCUUGGAAACUUGCCCAGAAUCUUGAAGUGAAUAAGCUGCCACGGUCUGAGCUGAUAACCAAUGGAAUACCGUGGAGUGAAACAAUCCUGGACAUAUAGAGCGUUGCCAGCUGACUAGCAGUGAUCGUUUCUUUGACCGCCAGGAAAUGUGCAACUUUGGAAAGCCGGUCAAUGACGACAAGAAUAGCAUCAUUACCUUUCUGUGAUUUGGGAAAUCCAGUGACGAAGUCCAUCUCAACAUGGUCCCAUUUCCAUUCAGGAAUAGAGAUAGGUUGCAGAGUUCCAGCAGGCCUUUGAUGUUCUGCUUUGAUACGACGGCAAACGUCACACUCAGCAACAUAACGAGCAAUGUCUUGCUUCAUAUUAGACCACCAGAAUCUCUGACGGAUGUCUUGGUACAUCUUUGUACUACCAGGAUGGAUGCAUAGAGGCGUAUCAUGAGCUUCUUUCAUAACUUCCUGUGUCAUAUCCAGGUUUUUCUCUGCACAUGGCACCACUAGGCGGCCCUUGAAGUAUAAAGUGCCAUCUUCAGCAAUAGUGAAGAAUGAGGGCUUUCCUUCUGCGAGGUAGCGCUUAAUCUUGUGGGCUUCAGAGUCAUACUUCUGUAGCCUUUUGAUGCUGUCCACGAGAUCUGGUUUAGCAACUAGGGUAUUGAGGGAACCCUGGGUAACAACGUGGAGGUUCACCUUGCCAAACUCCUUAGGAGGGGGAGCGAGUGCACCCGGAGGAACAAUAUGGAGGUUCAGCUUCCUGAAUUCUUCAACAAGCGAGGGCUGAACUUUGUGAACCUGGAGGUGGUUGCAGUAAGACUUGCGGCUCAAGGCAUCAGCCAUUACAUUAGCCUUGCCUGGCGUAUAGGAAAUACCCAAGUCAAAGUCUGCAACAAGCUCCAUCCAUCUCUGCUGACGGAGGUUCAGGUCUGGCUGAGUAAACAGAUACUUCAGACUUUGGUGGUCAGUGAAGAUCUCGCAACGAUUACCGAGAAGGUAAUGUCGCCACUGCUUCAGCGCAUGAAUGACAGCAGCAAGUUCAAGGUCGUGAACUGGAUAGUUCUCUUCGUGAGGGCGCAAUUGCCGAGAGGCAUAAGCAAUCACUUUGCGGUCUUGCAUUAGGACACAGCCUAAUCCUUGACGGGAAGCGUCGCAGUAAAUGACGAAGUCCUUCUUAGUAUCAGGUGGAGCUAGAACUGGGGUAGAAGUCAACUUGUCUUUGAGUGCCUGGAAACUCUCCUGACAUUUGUCUGUCCAUUGGAACUUGACGCCCUUAUGCAACAGGUUAGUCAGAGGCCUGGCGAUCUUGGAGAAGUUCUCGACGAAUCGACGGCAAUAGCUGGCGAGACCGAGAAAACUUCUGACUUGCUUAACGUUCUUGGGAGGAGUCCAAUCAAGGAUAGCCUGGACUCGUUCAGGGUUGACGGCAAUACCAUCCUUAGAGAUGACAUGCCCAAGAUAGGUUACUUCGGGUAGCCAGAAUUCACAUUUGGAGAACUUGGCAUAUAGUUGAUGCUCUCGUAGCUUUUCCAGCACAAGUCGAAGAUGUUCAGCAUGUUCUUCUUCGUUCUUGGAAAAUACCAGGAUAUCAUCCAGAUAAACCACGACGAACUUGUCGAGGUAAUCCAUGAAUAUAUAGUUCAUCAGACGAGAGAAGGUGGCUGGAGCAUUGGUUAAACCGAAAGACAUGACGGUGUACUCGUAUGAACCAUGUCGAGGUAAUCAAGUAUACUUUUCGUGCUGGAACUCUUCCGAGAGUUUAGAAAUCGUCCCUCAACUCUAAUCCGGAGAGUUUUCGUCCCUCAACUAUCAAAACCGGAUAGUUUUCGUCCCUCAACUAUCAAAACCGGAUAGUUUUCGUCCCUCAACUAUCAAAACCGGAUAGUUUUCGUCCCUCAACUAUCAAAACCGGAUAGUUUUCGUCCCUCUUGCCGCUUCGGGCGGUUUUCGUCCGAUGUGAACAGUAAAUCGGUGAACAGUAAAUUCGUAAAAAAAAUUAAGAAAAUUUGUCGGAUCAAAGUUCCUCGGGGGCGUAAGGUGCGUGCAAAUUUUCAUACUGUUUGGACAUUCCAGGUGCUCAUGACAAAGAAAAAAGUUACAUAUGUACGUCGGUGAACAGUAAAAAUUGAAAAAAAUAGAAAACAAAUUUAAAAAAUUAUGAAUUUUUUUGGCAUCAAAGAGGCUUAAGUGUGCAAGGUGCGUGCAAAUUUUCGUGCUCAAAUGACAUAAGAGGAGCUCUAGCCAAAAAAACAAAACAGUGCACUUUGUCAAAGUUUCUUUCCGAGCCAAUUUUUUUAUUUUUUUAUUUUGCCACGGGCUCCCACAAUGUCCAAACACCAUGAAAAGUUUUAGGCACCUUGAGCACCCGAGCAUCUUAGAUGUCAACAGUUUUCAUAUUUUUUUGAAUUUUUUUCUAUUUUUUUUAUUUUACUGUUCACCAACGUACAUACUUAUGGUUUUUGCUUUGUCACGAGCUCCUGGAAUGUCCAAACAGUAUGAAAAAUUGCACGCACCUUGCGCCCCCGAGGAACUUUGAUCCACAAGUUUUCAUACUUUUUUGCUAUUUUUCUCGAAUGUACUGUUCAUCGAUUUACUGUUCACGUCGGAUGAAAACCGCCCGAAUCGGCACGAGGGACGAAAACUAUCCGGUUUUGAUAGUUGAGGGACGAACACUAUCCGGAUUAGAGUUGGGGGACGAUUUCUAAACUCUCGGAAGAGUUCGAGGACGAAAAGUAUACUUAUCCCUAUUAAUUUAAACGUCUUAUUGGAAGAAUUCAGAAAAUCAGAAAAUCAUCAAUGGAUGGAAGGGGAGAACGUUAUCUUAUGGUGGUAAGGAGGCUCUAAUAAAGGCGGUGGCUCAAGCUAUCCCAACAUAUCCGAUGAGUGUGUGCAUAUUCCCAAAAAAUUGUAAGGGAAUCACUAAUGCAAUAUCGCAUCGCAAGAUGUAUUGGUUUGCGGGGGUGGCAUGGGCUUUCGUGAUAUUAGUAGCUUUAACUUGCUUAUGCUAGCAAAGCAGUGCUGGAGAUCGAUUGAUAACUAUGACUCACUGUGCGCUAGAGUGAUGAGGUUCAAAUAUUAUCCAGUGGGUGACUUGCUUAAUUGUGAACUUAAAAAAAUCUCCUCCUAUGCUUGGCAAAGUAUUUGGCCUGGAGUACAUACUUCCCAAAAAGUUUGUAUCUGGUGGGUUGGAAACGGUUUGAAAAUAAACAUAUGAGAGGAUUGUUAAAUCUCGAAUGGUUCAAAUAGGAAGAUUAUUACAAACCGGGGCAAUUGCAGACUUACCAGAGUUAGUGGGCUUAUCGAUCUUGUUUCUGGUCAUUGGGAUGAAACGCUGAUUAGGGACAAUUUCUGGCAUCUUGAUGCAGAGCGCAUUCUGCAUAUUCCUAUAUACCAACAACAUACGAAAGAUUUUGUCGCUUGGCACCUAACAAAGUCGGGUAUUUUAGCGUUCGAUCAGCUUAUUACAAGCGGUGGGAGGCUAGUCCAUCAGGCAUUGGAGGGACAAGACCUCAUCUGGUUUGGCAGAAGCUCUGGAAUUUGGAACUUCUAGGAAUAGUGAUCUUCUUUUGGCGAUGCAUACAUGACGCAAUCCCACGUUAGUGUGUUCUUGCAAACCGGCGCAUUGCAAUGGGGAUGGGCUGGGGAGAUUUUGAGAGCUCUUGGUCUACAUGAAAUAUUAGAUGUGGCAGGAAUAGUUGGCAGAUCAAGAGCGGAAGUAAUCGUGAUCAUCUUGUGUGACCUAAGUUUUCAGAAGCAAUACAUGGACAUUGUACAAAAACCUGAACGAUUGCUAUUACCUGUUAGUACAUAUGGCAGCAGUGUCGCCUUGUUGGAGAUGAUGAGGUCUAGUCGCUUGAUCAAACAAGCAGGGCAAUACAAGCUCUUUCUCUGAAUUUUGUUAGAGCAUCUAGGAAACCUGUUGUCACGCCAAGUAAUCGCUGGUGGAAGCCACUUACAGGACAACUCGCCUUGAACGUGGACGCGUCCUUUUCAAAAGAUGAUCACGUGGGUUCUUGUGGUGUAGUCCUUCUUGAUAAUAGAGGUUCAUUUGUGGGAGCUUCAACUGUGAAAUGGAACAUGUUCUAGGUGUUGUUUCAGCUGAGGCUGGUGCACUACUUGAAGGAUUGAAGUUUCCCUAAGCAUUGGAUGCAAUUCCAUUGUUGUGCAAAUGGAUAACAUGAUUGGUGUCAAAGCACUAAACCAUAAUGCCAUGCAUUCAAUGGUGGAAACCCUAAUUCUUGAUGAUUGUUGAAGUUUAUUGAAAGAUUUCAAGAAAGUUUUUAUUUGGCAUUGUAAUAGAGAUUGGAAUAUGGUUGCUCAUACACUAUCUCAACAGGGACAUGUUCAUCCACCGGCUGUGUGGUCGGACUCACCUCCCCUUUUUAUCAUUCCUUUACUAGUAGACGAUGUAAGUGUUAUUUGAUUUAAUAAAGCUAGCCAUGAGGGCCUUCCCCACAAAAAAAUAAUUUAAACAAGGGUUACAUCGUCCAUAAUUAAGUGUCAAAUACUCAGGAGGAUUAUCCAACCACGAAGUCGGGGGAUUAGAACAACUCCAAUAGAUCCCUUAAAAAUCUUCCCGUAAAACUGGCUUUACGGGCUUUUCAUCAAAUUAGGGAAAGUUGUCUCAAAGCAACUUUUGUCAGUUCCCUAAAAUUCUUCCACCAAAUUCAUUUUUAUUUUAUUUUUAAUUAUAAAAAAUAGAUAAUUUCCUAGGACCUGCUAGUGAAUGACACACAUGACGGCGGGCGGUGCAAUAGCCGUCGACGAGGGGCGGCGUGGCAGUGGGCGGCGGCGCGGACGGAGGACGGUGUGGCAACGGGCGGCGCGGGCACAAGAUGGGGUGGGCACGGCAGCAUUUCGGCAUGGUGGCGCAACGGCGUUCCGGCAGGGCACGCGGUGAAGUUUCAUAUAUGGUUACUAGCCCGCCAAAAAGAUACGAGAAGAUGAUCAUCCCAUAAACCUUUGGGAAGAAAAUGCCACUUUUACAUGAUCCUUUAAAGGUAUGGACACUUUACGGAAUUAUAGGAGAGUCUUUCUUGGCCCAACUUCCUGUAAACGGCGGUUAUUUUGAGAUAGGAGAGCUAUUCGAGUUGCUCUUUAACCAUGCCUACCUUAACUAGUUCAUGUAGAACACCAGACUGACACCUGCCCUGUAUCUAUGGCCCCUAUUUGCUUACUGUAGGAUCGAAAGUAUGUCUACAGGGGGUGAUUAGACUACUUGACCAAAUAAAAAUCUAGCAUUUUCUCAAUUUUAAGUCUUGGCAGAUUUUAGCAACUUAGCACAAAUCAAGUAAUCAACCUACACAUGCAAUUCUAAGAGUAUAGCAGCGGAAUGUAAAAAAAUUGCAUAUGAAGGUAAAGGGAGGUGUUUGGACGGAGCAAACGCAAUGUAGACACGGAGAUUUUUGGCGUGGUUCCGAUAGGUGGUGCUAUCGUACAUCCACGUUGAUGGAGACUUCAACCCACGAAGGGUAACGGUUGCGCAAGUCCACGGAGGGCUCCACCCACGAAGGGUCCACGAAGAAGCAACCUUGUCUAUCCCACCAUGGCCAUCGCCCACGAAGGAUUUGCCUCACUAGGGUAGAUCUUCACGAAGUAGGCAAUCUCCUUGCCCGUACAAACUCCUUAGUUCAACUCCACAAUCUUGACGGAGGCUCUCAAGUGACACCUAGCCAAUCUAGGAGACACCACUCUCCAAAAGGUAAUAGAUGGUGUGUUGAUGAUGAACUCCUUGCUCUUGUGCUUCAAAUGAUAGUCUCCCCAACACUCAACUCUCUCUCAUAGGAUUGGAUUUGGUAGAAAGAUGAUUUGAGUGGAAAGCAACUUGGGGAAGGCUAGAGAUCAAGAUUUAUGUGGUUGGAAUGGAAUAUCUUGACCUCAACACAAAUGUAGGUGGUUCUCUCUCAGAAAAUGUAUGUUGGAAGUGUAGGCAUGUUCUGAUGGCUCUCUCCACUAAUGAAAGAGUGGGUGGAGGGGUAUAUAUAGCCUCCACACAAAAUCUAACCGUUACACACAAAUCACCAAACUCGGUGGGACCGAAUUAUAAAACUCGGUCAAACCGAUUUAGUUCAAAAUGUGAACGUUAGGAUUUUUGGUGGGACCGACAUGUCAACUCGGUGGGACCGAUUCCAUUAGGGUUAGGGCAUAACGUAAUCUCGGUGAGACCGAUCACCAAACUCGGUGGGACCAAUUUUGGUAAUAAGAAAACAGAGAGUUGGUCAGGCAAACUCGGUGGGACCGAUUCGCUCAUCUCGGUUAGACCGAAACGUUACAAAGGGGAAACAAAGAGUUUGCAUUGCAAUCUCGGUGGGACCGAUCGCUCAUCUCGGUUGGACCGAAACGUUACGAAGGGAAACAGAGAGGUUGCAAUCCCAUCUCGGUGAGACCGAGAUCCCUAUCGGUGAGACCGAAGUGACUAGGGUUUGUGGCAGUGGCUAUAUCAAGAGAACUCGGUGGCGCCGGAUAGAAAGAUUUCGGUGGGGCCGAGUUUGACUUUUGGUUUGGGACAUAUGUGGAUAUGAGAAAGUAGUUGAGGGUUUUUGGAGCAUAUCACUAAGCAUUUUGAGCAAGUAACUCAUUAAGCAACACCUCACCCCCUUUUAAUAGUAUUGGCUUUUCCUAUGGACUCAAUGUGAUCUUGGAUCACUAAAAGUAAAAUGUAGAGUCUUGUGCUUUGAGCUUGAGCCAAUCUUUUGUCCUUAGCAUUUUGAGGGUCCACUUUCUAAGCCAUGCCAAUCAUUGCGCUUUCCUGAAAUAUUUAUCUUGAAAUAGCAUUAGCUCAAUGAGCUAUAUGUCGUUAGGAAUUACCAAAACCACCCAGGGAUAGUUGCACUUUCAAUCUCCCCCUUUUUGGUAAUUGAUGACAACAUAUAGAUCAAAGCUUCUACAAAUGAUCAUAAGAUUGAAAAACAUCGUCGCUUUGAGAAGUAUGUGAUAAGCAAGAGCUCCCCCUAAAUUUGUGCAUUAUUUAAAAUUUGCUAUUGAAUGCAAAUGCACAAUCGAUUAGGAUCAUGGGUUACUCUUCCAUGUCACAUACAUCUUGGUGGAGCGCUUAGAGUGAUAGAAAUUAAAAGCAUGCACUCAUCACCAAGCAAGUGAAUGAUCAUAUAUGAGAUAUAAAAGAUAGUAUCAUCCAAACAAGCAUUAAGGUAGCAAAUGAUCAAUCACAUGAUCACACAAGUAUCUCACAAGGACAUAAAGUAUCUCACACAAGCACACAAUCAAAAAGUUCAACCAAAAGCAAGAGAGAUAAAAAGCAAGACACUCUCUCUCGAAGCCUAUGAUCGAUACAUAUUUCUCCCCCUUUGGCAACAAGUUACCAAAAAGUUCAAAUAUGCAUAGUGCUAUGCGUCUCUCAGGCUUGGUCUUCGGGAGGUGGUGUAGAGAGAACUCCAAGGACGAAGGCAUCUGUGGAUGUAGUUGGAGUUGGUGGAGUGGCUGCUGGAUGUGGCACUGGGGCUGUAGCUGCUGGUGCUGAUGCUGUAGCUCUGGAAUCUCUCACUAGCACUGCAGCAGACCUCUGUCCUCUAGGCACUCGCUCAAAUGCAUCAGUAGUUGCCUUUCCUCUCUUCUCUUCUGCUUCCUCCUGAAGCUGCUCAACUGCUGUUUGAAUCUCAGUUACCUUCAGAUCAAGAUCCUAAAAUUUGGUUUCUAUGAUCCUCUCCAAGCUCUUAUGGUUUUGAGUCAGGGUGGCCAAGCCCUUCUCAAUCCUUAGUGUAGACUGGAUCAGAUAUCCAAGUUGAUCUUGCUUGCUCUUCAGGAAAACUUGAGAUGCCUCUUCAACACUUGGCAUCUUUCUCAGCCUUUGCUUUGGCUAUCUUCUCCUGUGCUUAAACUGAAGAUGUUUCUUCCUCAUUCAUCACAACCUUGUUGUCUUCAAAUUCAGGAUAUAAGGGUAAGUGCUCCUUGUCCAACAAAUAAGUGCAUGUGCCCAUCUUGGAGUUGAUGAGCUCCUGAUGUGUGGAGCAUACCCACAGCUUCUCUUCUGAUCAGCAGCUGUCCUUUUGAUUGUCUCUACAAUCAAACUCAUGACCUUGAACUUCUGAGGCACAUCAAACAAAUGUAGCAAAUUUAUAGCAUGUCCUCUUAUCAUCUUGUGAUCUCCAGACUUGGGUAGCAAUGUGUGCCUAAGGAUCCAGUUGAUGGUAGGCAGACCAGACAGCAGGUAAUGUACUAAUCCAAGCUUAUGAGUCUCCAAAGCUUUGUCUGGGAUCUCCUUGUACAUGUUUGCCAUAGUGUUGUGGUCUUUCUUCUUGUCAGCAUAUACAUCCAAGUCAUCUUCAUGUUCUUCAGGGGCAUUUAUCAGCUUGGCCCACUCCUCAACUGUGGAUUGGUACCUUGUACCUUCAGACAUCCAAAUGGUCUUCCCAUCUGGGUAAAGGUGAGUAGUGGAGUAAAACUGCAUGAUCAGCUCAUCAUUCCAUUUGGUGAGCUUCUGAGCAACAAAUUUGUCCACUCCACAUGCUUUGAAGCUGUCAUGUACUCCUGGGAAGUGAUCUUCAUUUUCCUUGAUGAAUUCCCAAUCAACCCAUCUCAUGUCACAAACAAUGGGCUUCUUGUCAAGCAGAAUUGUCUCAUAGAAGUCUUGUUGUUCCUUUGUGUGAAACCUGUAAUCAACUGUUGUCCUCCUCCUUACGGCAUAAGGAUCAGACAGUCUCCAUAAUCUCAGUCCAGCAUCUUUCCUGAUGUGCAUGUCUUCUGCUACUGGAUGAGCAUCAUUAUGGUCAGGAAUCUUGGGCUUCAACUUUCUUAGCACUAGGGCUUCAUCAUCCUCUUCUUCAACCUCAGGCACUGGGGCCUUGUUCUUUUCUUCAGCAGGAAUGUUCCUGGUGCUCCUCUUGGGUUUACUAGGCUUCUGAGCUGGAGCUUUGGGAGCAUGCUUGGGCUUAGAUGGAGCAGCCCCUGCCUUUAUAGAAUCUCCCAUGAGGUUCUGAGUUUUGGGAGCUGGUGCAGCAUCCUCUUCCUCUUCCUCUUCAGAAUCUCUCAUCAUUGAGGGCUUCCCAAUAACUCUGGCAAUGGUCUUCUUGACCCUUUCUCUCCUCUUCUUGCCUUCUCCACCUUCUUUGGGUUCAAGAGUGAACUCCAUUGUCUCUUGAGUGGAGGCUCUGACCUUAGACAUAGGAAUUCUCCAUGCUGGUGCCUUUGUUUUCAUUCCUGGCUUACUUGUAGCAGCUGUGGCAUAUUCCUUCUUCAGUACUUUCUUCUUGGAGCUUACUUCCUCCUCAGUGGCAAUAUAAUCCUCAUCCUCAGAUUCUGAGGUUCUCUUCUUCCUAGAUCUGGUUGCUGCCUUUGGCAAGUUGCUUGGAGUGCUCCUGCUGCCAUCAUCAGAAGUGCUAGAGAAAUCUGAACCCUCACUCAUGUGCACAUGUUCCUCUGACCUGUUCUGACUGUCACUUUGAUCAGACAUCUCUCUAAACUUACUGACAGCAGACCCUGUGAAUAGAUAUAGAUGAGGUAGAGUGGAUGAGCAUCACAAAGUGCAGAGUUUUUGCAAAACAGAAGACUUAAAAACUUAGUUUUGGUUCUUCACAGAAAGCAUUUUGGAUCUACCGAUUUGUAAACUGGGUGAUACCGUAGCAUCUUUUGGAAUCUAAACUAGUGAACUCGGUCAGACCGAGUCAUAGUUCGGUGGCACCGAGACUGCUAGGGUUUCACAGAGAAUCAAACUAGGUCACACCGAUUUGCAGUUUUCGGUCAGACCGAAAGUGCAAGUGCAAUGGCCUAAGCCAAAUCGGUGAGACCGAUUUCUACAACUUAGUCUGUCCGAGAUGAGUUCGGCGGAGACCUAACCCUAAAUUUUCAAAUCAAACCUAACCUAAGGGAUGUUUUCAGUGGAUAGAGUGUUUGCAUACAUGGUGAUGAUCAUGGUAGAACAAUGUGCUACGAAUCAAAGGUAAAAGAAUAGCACAAAGGAUCGAACUCGUACCCUAGUUCGGCGGAGUUCGCUACAGCGGCAACGGAGGGGUAGAAUUCCAUUGACGGCGAUGGAAACCAGCGGCUGGAGGUCGCUGGCGGCGAGAAGACGAUCCGGAGACCCGAGGCGGCAGAGCAGGAUACGCGCGGGCUGAGAGGUUUCGAAGAAAUUUCCAAAAUCUCACCCGUGGGUUUAUAUAUCCCAACCCUGUCGGUGUGACCGAGUGGAACAACUCGGUGGCACCGAGAUACAGAAUCGCAAGCGGUUACUGCAACUCGGUGUGACCGAAGAGUUCAAAUCGAUUGCACCGAGAUUGAAAACCUAGAUCAACUUAGUGAUCUCGGUGUGACCGAAAUGGAUGACUCGGUCAUACCGAAAUGCACAAAGAGGUUUUGGAAGUUUAAGUCUAUGACGAAUCGGGGACUUCGAGUGCUCCUCACACAGAGUGGUUCGAAUCUGACUUGAUCAAACUUUGUGAUGUAGCAUGAAUAGAGUUUGAGACGAGAAAAGCAUAGAUAGCUAGAGGGAGUUCUUAGGCAUUCUUGUCCAUCCAUUUGGCAAAAGAGAAAAAGCCAAACAAUCAAAGCAACAAAUGGAUGUCCUCGAAUGAGUAAAAUAUGCAUCCAACAUGCUCACACAAUAAAAUGACAAAUGAAAUAUGUGACAAAGUAUGCACAAACACUCUAGCAUCUAUCAAGCAAUUUGGCGAUGACUAGGUCAUCUAUAUAUGAGUAUAUUGACUUAGGAGUCAAAUGAGAACAUUUGAUCAUAGGUCAUACUCAUCGUUUAAGCACAAGUGGGGUUGUGCUACCUCUUGAGCACUGCGUUGGUUUUCCCUUGAAGAGGAAAGGGUGAUGCAGUAAAGUAGCGUAAGUAUUUCCCUCGGUUUUGAGAACAAAGGUAUCAAUCCAGUAGGAGGCCACGCUCAAGUCCCUCGCACCUACACAAACAAAUAAAAACCUCGCAACCAACGCAAUAAAGGGGUUGUCAAUCCCUUCACGAUCACUUACGAAAGUGAGAUCUGAUAGAUAUGAUAAGAUAAUAUUUUUGGUAUUUUCAUAAUAAAGAUGCAAAGUAAAAUAAAAGGCAAUAAAAAUAGCUAAGUGUUGGAAGAUUAAUAUGAUGGAAAAUAGACCCGGGGGCCAUAGGUUUCACUAGUGGCUUCUCUCAAGAGCAUAAGUAUUACAGUGGGUGAACAAAUUACUGUUGACCAAUUGAUAGAAUUGAGCAUAGUUAUGAGAAUAUCUAAGCAUGAUCAUGUAUAUAGGCAUCACGUCCGUGAUAAGUAGACCGACUCCUGCCUGCAUCUACUACUAUUACUCCACACAUCGACCGCUAUCCAGCAUGCAUCUAGAGUAUUAAGUUCAAAAGAACAGAGUAAUGCUUUAAGUAAGAUGACAUGAUGUAGAGGGAUAAACUCAUGCAAUAUGAUAUAAACCCCAUCUUGUUAUCCUCGAUGGCAACAAUACAAUACGUGCCUUGCUGCCCCUGCUGUCACUGGGAAAGGACACCGCAAGAUUGAACCCAAAGCUAAGCACUUCUCCCAUUGCAAGAAAGAUCAAUCUAGUAGGCCAAACCAAACUGAUAAUUCUAAAAGACUUGCAAAGAUAACCAAUCAUACAUAAAAGAAUUCAGAGAAGAUUCAAAUAUUGUUCAUAAACCCACAAUUCAUCGGUCUCAACAAACACACCGCAAAAGAAGAUUACAUCGAAUAGAUCUCCACGAGAAUCGUGGAGAACUUUGUAUUGAGAUCCAAAGAGAGAGAAGAAGCCAUCUAGCUAAUAACUAUGGACCCGAAGGUCUGAGGUAAACUACUCACACAUCAUCGGAGAGGCUAUGGUGUUGAUGUAGAAGCCCUCCGUGAUCAAUGCCCCCUCCGGCAGGACGCCGGAAAAGGCCCAAGAUGGGAUCUCACGGGUACAUAAGGUUGCGGCAGUGGAAUUAGGUUUUCGUGGAUGCUUCUGUUGGUUUGGGGGUACGUAGGUAUAUAUAGGAGGAAGAAGUACGUCGGUGGAGCAACAUGGGCCCCACGAGGGUGGAGGGCGCGCCCAGGGGGGUAGGCGCGCCCCCUGCCUCGUGCUCUCCUGGUUGAUUUCUUGACAUAGACUCCAAGUCCUCUGGAUCACGUUUGUUCUGAAAAUCACGUUCCUGAAGGUUUCAUUCCGUUUGGACUCCGUUUGAUAUUCUUUUUCUGCGAAACUCUGAAAUAGGCAAAAAAAACAGCAAUUUGGGCUGGGCCUCCGGUUAAUAGGUUAGUCCCAAAAAUAAUAUAGAAGUGUAUAACAAAGCCCAUUAAUCAUCCAAAACAGAAUAUAAUAUAGCAUGAAGCAAUUAAAAAUUAUAGAUACGUUGGAGACGUAUCAGGUUGCCACUUUUACAUAAAGCAUUGUUGUGCUCACAUCAUUAGAGUUUCUUUAGCUCAAUUGAUUAGAGUAAAGCUCCCCCUAGAUGUGAUAUCCCCCCUAAGAGGGAUGAACUAACCUUGGGUUUUGUCGAUGAUGACUUCAUGUAGGUGUUGAAGAUUUGGAUGCUCAAUGUUGAUGUAGAUCAUUUGGAGCAAUCCUUUGGAGUGAGUUGCACUUUCAAUACCUACACGGGUUAGUCCCACAAGGAACAAACAAGGAUAUCCAUAGACAUAGAGUGAUAUUCUCAGGAGAUGAUGUCCAUGAAUGCAUUAGGUUACCUUGUCCCUUGUCUUACCAACAAGAGGGUUUGUGACUCCUUGAACUAGUGCAAGAUAUGGAAGUUGUUUGCACUUGUCCUUGCCAAAAUGAUAAGAGUGAAGUAUGUUGGCGGAGUCACACUCAAGAACUCUCUAGUUCUUCUUCUUCGGGAUCCACACCAUCUUGAUGGGAAUCCUUGGAGUUGUAGUCGUACUUGAUGAAGUGGAACUUGAUGUAGUCUUGGGAACCCACUUGACCAAGGCCUUAGGUGCUUCUUCGAAUGCAUCAAUCUCCUCUUGAAGCUUGUCCUUGCCUUUUAGCUUGUGGUCUUGUGGUGGAAGAUCAUCUUGAGCUUGUGUUCCUUGGAAAGAAGUAGGAUCAUACUUCUCUUGUUGAGGAACAAACUUCGUCUUGGGGUAUUGAUCUUCUUCCCACUCAACUCCAUUGGCAUUGAACUUUUGUUCAAAAACAACACCUUGAUUCUUCCGGUGUCUUCCUUGCUUGCGUACAAUUUCCUCAAAUUGCUUACUUCCGGCAAGACUCUUGUAAACACCUUUCUCUAUAAUUCCCUUCAAUAAGCUAUUUUCUUGCUCAAGUGUAACUUGGCUAAGAGAAUCAUUAGUGGAAUCAAGAGAACUACUAGAAGCAACAAUAUUGGAUUUAGCAUGACUGUUGUUACUACUAGAGGAAGAAUCUUUCUUGUUCUUAUUGCUAGAUUUAACUUGUGGCAUGUAAGUAGACAAGAGUAAACGCUUGGCAAUGUAAGAAGAACUUUUCUUGCAAAGAUCAUCAUUGAUUGCUUUUAAGAACUCAUGCUCUUGCUCAAGGUUGAGCUUUUCAAAGCGUAGCUCCUCAUGAGUCUUUAAAAGUUCUCGAUGAUCUUCCAAGGUAAUUUCAUGAGCUAACUUAAGAGUGUUUAGUUCUUUAGUUAGACGCUCAAUCUCCUUCUUAUCAUCGUCAUUCGUUUUAUCUUGAUUAUCAUGAUUAAUAGCAAGUUCAUCAUAGUUUUCAUAACUAGAGUUGUCAACAAGUAAAUCAUCAUGUCCUAGCAAAUCAUCUUCAUCACUAUUGAAAUCAACAUACUCGGGGUGUGAUACCUUUGGACCUUUGGCCAUGAAGCAUCUUCCAAUUCCUUCAUUUGGUGAGUCAAAUAUGUUGUAGGAGUUGGUUGACACAAGUGCUAGACCGGCAACACCUUCACUUGAGUAUAUUCGGAGUCGGAGUGAUAACUUCUUUCGGAGUGAUGGUCGGAGUCGGAGUCGGAUACCCAUUCACCAACAUGAGCUUGAUGUCUUCUUUUUGUGUAGCUUUUUGAUGACUUGUCCUUCCUCUCCGAAUCCUUGCUUCUCCGAGAGGGUCUUCGUUCAUAACGAUCAUCUCUACUCCUCUCUCUUGGCGGUGAUUCUUAUCUUCUACUCCUUCUUUUGGGAGAAUCUUCUCUUCUUUUGUAGGGAGCCGUACACUCAUUGGAGUAGUGUCCGGGUCUUCCACAAUUUUAGCAAUUUCGUUCACGACUCGAAGAUCUCUUGUCAUUGUAGGACCUUGACUUGGAGCUUCUUUCCUUGCUUCUACUCGUGUAGAAUUUGUUGAAGUUCUUCACCAUUAGGCUCAAUUCUUCAUUGAAGGUUUGUUUCUCACUUGAUGAUGUGGGAGCUUCACAUGAGGCUUUGUAAGCACCACUUGACUUGUUGUGGAGCUCUUCCUUAUCCUUAAGUGACAUCUCAUGAGCAACAAUUCUUCUAAUGACUUCCGUUGGCUUGAGAUCUUUGUAAUUGGGCAUCAUUUGGAUCAAUGUGCACACGGUAUCAUAUUUUCCAUCCAAGGCUCUUAGGAUCUUCUUGAUGAUGAAUCUAUCGGUCAUCUCUUCACUUCCUAAGCCGGCAAUCUCAUUUGUGAUGAGAGCAAGCCUAGAGUACAUUUCAGCGACACCUUCACCAUCCUUCAUUUUGAACUUGUCAAGUUGACUUUGAAGCACAUCCAAUUUGGAUUCCUUGACGGAGUCGGUACCUUCGUGCAUAUCAAUCAAAGUAUCCCAAAUUUCCUUUGCAUUCUCAAGACGGCUGAUUUUGUUGAAUUCUUCGGGGCACAAUCCGUUGAAGAGAAUAUCACAAGCUUGAGCAUUGUAUUGCAGCAUCUUCAACUCUUCCGCGGUAGCUUCACGGUUCGGUUCUCUCCCAUCAAAUAAUUCACCUUGCAAGCCAAUACACACAAUAGCCCAAACGGCGGGGUUAUGUCCAAUAAUAUGCAUUUUCAUCUUAUGCUUCCAACUAGCAAAGUUAGUACCAUCAAAGUAAGGACCUCUACGGUGGUAAUUUCCCUCACUAGAUGACAUACUCUCCUAGGUUGUGAAACCAAGGCUAUGAUCACCAAAAGCUAUGGAAAUCAAAGCAAAUGGAGACCAAAGCUUUGAUACCACUUGUAGGAUCGAAAGUAUGUCUAGAGGGGGUGAUUAGACUACUUAACCAAAUAAAAAUCUAGCCUUUUCUCAAUUUUAAGUCUUGGCAGAUUUUAGCAACCUAGCACAAAUCAAGUAAUCAACCUACACAUGCAAUUCUAAGAGUAUAGCAGCGGAAUGUAAAACAAUUGCAUAUGAAGGUAAAGGGAGGAGUUUGGAGGGAGCAAAUGCAAUGUAGACACGGAGAUUUUUGGCGUGGUUCCGAUAGGUGGUGCUAUCGUACAUCCACGUUGAUGGAGACUUCAACCCACGAAGGGUAACGGUUGCGCGAGUCCAUGGAGGGCUCCACCCACGAAGGGUCCACGAAGAAGCAACCUUGUCUAUCCCACCAUGGCCAUCGCCCACGAAGGACUUGCCUCACUAGGGUAGAUCUUCACGAAGUAGGCGAUCUCCUAGCCCGUACAAACUCCUUGGUUCAACUCCACAAUCUUGACGGAGGCUCCCAAGUGACACCUAGCCAAUCUAGGAGACACCACUCUCCAAAAGGUAAUAGAUGGUGUGUUGAUGAUGAACUCCUUGCUCUUGUGCUUCAAAUGAUAGUCUCUCCAACACUCAACUCUCUCUCAUAGGAUUGGAUUUGGUAGAAAGAUGAUUUGAGUGGAAAGCAACUUGGGGAAGGCUGGAGAUCAAGAUUUAUGUGGUUGGAAUGGAAUAUCUUGACCUCAACACAAGUGUAGGUGGUUCUCUCUCAGAAAAUGUAUGUUGGAAGUGUAGGCAUGUUCUGAUGGCUCUCUCCAUGAAUGAAAGAGUGGGUGGAGGGGUAUAUAUAGCCUCCACACAAAAUCUAACCGUUACACACAAAUCACCAAACUCGGUGGGACCGAAUUAUAAAACUCGGUCAGACCGAUUUAGUUCAAAAUGUGAACGUUAGGAUUUUCGGUGGGACCGACAUGUCAACUCAGUGGGACCGAUUCCAUUAGGGUUAGGGCAUAACGUAAUCUCGGUGAGACCGAUUACACAAACUCGGUGGGACCGAUUUUGGUAAUAAGCAAACAGAGAGUUGGUCAGGCAAACUCGGUGGGACCGAUUCGCUCAUCUCGGUUAGACCGAAACAUUACGAAGGGGAAACAGAGAGUUUGCAUUGCAAUCUCGGUGGGACCGAUCGCUCAUCUCGGUUGGACCGAAAAGUUACGAAGGGAAACAGAGAGGUUGCAAUCCCAUCUCGGUGAGACCGAGAUCCCUAUCGGUGAGACCGGAGUGACUAGGGUUUGUGGCAGUGGCUAUGUCAAGAGAACUCGGUGGCGCCGGAUAGAAAGAUUUCGGUGAGGCCGAGUUUGACUUUUUGUUUGGGACAUAUGUGGAUAUGAGAAAGUAGUUGAGGGUUUUUGGAGCAUAUCACUAAGCAUUUUGAGCAAGUAACUCAUUAAGCAACACCUCACCCCCUUUUAAUAGUAUUGGCUUUUCCUAUGGACUCAAUGUGAUCUUGGAUCACUAAAAGUAGAAUGUAGAGUCUUGUGCUUUGAGCUUGAGCCAAUCUUUUGUCCUUAGCAUUUUGAGGGGUCCACUUUCUAGUCCAUGCCAUGCCAAUCAUUGAGCUUUCCUGAAAUACUUAUCUUGAAAUAGCAUUAGCUCAAUGAGCUAUAUGUUGUUAGGAAUUACCAAAACCACCCAGGGAUAGUUGCACUUUCACUUACAGGGCUCCACUCAGGAAGUUUUAUAGGUUGCUGGGACACAAUUCUCCACUCCUCCAAACAACAAAUCACAGCAACAAGAGGAAGCUGGUACCGGCCUCCACAACAAGUGCUCUACACAUUAAAGGCAAAAGAAAAGGAGAGGGGACCAGUUAUGGAAACUGGGGUAAGGAGUGCCAGGCUCCAGCACAUUAAGAAUUGAUUUAAGAAGGAAACUUGCAAAAAUAAGAAUUGCAUGGCUUGCCAUGCUGCUGCUCCUAACUUUAAGAGUAUGGUGGUUAAAAAUCUUAAUGCUUCUUACUGCAAGGUGGAGCCUAAAAACACAAGUGAGAAGCUGCUUACUAAGAAGAGGGCCAAGAAGGGUGGCAAGGCUGAAGCAAGGAAAGUUGGACCUGCUACUGGGAAGGAGGGGAACUGGAGGCCCUCAAGAAAGGAUCUAAGCCUACGAUUAGUCAGAUGUUUAGUUCUCUGAAACUCUGUCUGAAGUGUUGUAAUAAGGAUUUUAUGUAUUGCAGCUACUUGUGUUAUGGUCUUUUUUCUCAAAAUCUUUUGUUGUUAUCCAUGGACUAGUCUUUCAAUGAGCUGGGCUUUUCUUUACCUAUGGCAUGUGAUUGUUUUUUUCAAGUAGCAACUACAUUAAUGAAUAGAGCUUGGAAAAUUCUCAACUUGAAUGUUAGAGGAACUAAUUCUAGCAAUAAAUGGUUGCCCAUUUCUUGUAAAAUUGAAGAAUCUGAUUGCUCCAUAGUGUGUCUACAAGAAACUAAGAGCUAAAGUUUUUACAGUGCCUAUCUCAAGAAUUUCUGACCAAGAGGGAUUUCUAAAUUUGAGUUUUCUCCAUCUAAAGGUGCCUCUAGUGGGUUGCUGAUUGCUUGGAAUGAUAAUAUGUUCCAUGGCGAAUGCAUGUUUAAGAACAAAUUCUCAGUCUCAGUUAGGUUUACCUCUGCACACACUGGAAAUUCUUGGAUGAUAACCAACAUCUAUGGGCCCAGUAACAAUGAUCAAAGAACUGAAUUUAUUGAUUGUUUGCAAAAUAUUCAGAUGUCUGAUGAAAUGGACUGGCUUCUAGCUGGGACUUCAAUUACAUCAGAUAUCCCCACAACUGAAAUUUUGGCUCUGGUGAUAUUAACAAUAUGAUGCAAUUCAGUGAAACAAUUAGCUCUCUAGCUCUUGUAGAAGCUCCUCUCUUACACAUGGAGUAACAUGCAGGAAGCCCCUCUGCUGGAAAGACUUGACUGGGUUUUCACUUCUGAACAUUGGACAAGCUCAUACCCAAGCACAAUGGUUAUACCUCUAUCCAAUCCCAUCUCUAAUCAUACUCCAUGUGGCAUCACUAUUGGAACUUCUAUUCCUAAAUCUCAAUUAUUCAGGUUUGAAAACUUUUGGCUGGAUCACCCAGACUUUCAAGAUGUUGUCAAACCAUUUGGAGCCAAGAUGUGCAAACACAAGACAGUGCCAAAAGGAUCACACCAAAGUUUAAACGACUUAGAAAGGGACUCAAAAUUUGGUCUAGAAAUAUUUCUAACCUGGCUGUCAUUAUCAAGCACACCAACAAUCUAAUCUUCAUGUGGGAUAUGACAGAAGAGUACAAAAGUAUUUCCACCAUUGAGUUUAAUAGCAAAGAAAUCUUUAAGGAACAUCUUUUGAAAAUUCUACCAUAUCAAAGAAUUUAUUGGAAACAGAUGGCCACAAUCAGAUGGGUAAAAUUUGGAGAUGAGAACUCUAAGUUCUUCCAAGAAAAGGCUAGGCACAACCAUAUUGCUACCCUACAAGAUGAAAGUGGCUCUGAAUUCAGUGACCAUCAUGCAAAAGCUGUUAUUCUUUGUAGAGCCUUCAAGGAAGGGCUAGGAGUUUCAGAUCAAUCCUCCGGUCUGUUGCAAUUUACAUCCUUGCUUCACAGAAACAAUAAUUUACUUCAUCUAGAGGAUCCCUUCUCUAAGGAAGAAAUUGCUAAUGUUGUCAAACUGAUGCCCUCUGAUAGAGCUCCCCUGGUACUGAUGGUUUUAAAGGAGCUUUCAUCAAAGCAUGUUGGAGCACUAUACGUGAAUAUUUCGAUGAGCUCAUUGAUGAUUUUUACCAUGGCAAGAUAUCCCUCCAAAGCAUUAAUGCAUCUUACAUCACUCUAAUUCCUAAAAAGGAUGCCCCUCUUAAUGCGAGUGAUUUCAAACCCAUAUCUUUGCUAAAUGGAUUCAUCAAGAUUAUAACUAAGCUCUUGUCUAAUAGGCUGCAGAAGGUAAUUCUAAGCUUGUUACAUCCUAAUCAAUAUGAUUUCCUCAAGAAUAGAACAAUACAAGACUGUCUUGCUUGAGCUUUUGAAUAUUUGCACCAGUGCCACUAGUCUAAAAAUUCAAUUUUGGUGCUCAAAUUGGACUUUGAAAAAUCGUUUGAUAUGAUUGAGCACAGUGUUGUUAUGGAAAUUCUCAAAGCUAGAGGAUUUGGAGAGAGAUGGCUAAUGUGGGUCAACAUGAUCUUUUAAGUUUUCCACUGCAAGAGAGGAGGGUCAGACAGGGUGAUCCUCUCUCUCCCCUCCUAUUUGUUCUGGCUACAGACCUGCUACAAUCUAUUUUUGAUGAAGCACAUCAACAUCAACUCAUCCAACCUCCAAUUUGCUCAACAACUAAUCCAUAGUUCCCCAUAAUUGAGUAUGUAGAUGAUAUUGUUUUGGUACUUCCCGCAGAUACAAGGCAGCUAAUGCAUGUCAAGAAUCUCAUUCUUCACAUUGUAGAUUUCUCUGGACUUAAAGUCAAUUACAGUAAGUUUGUCCUGGUGCCUAUAAAUGUGCCUGUUGAUUGGCUGCCAUCUUUGGGUUGCCAACAAGAAUCCUUCCCCUUCACAUAUCUAGGUUUGCCGAUGAGCAUCAAUACGCCUAAAAUUGAAGACUCCAACCCUUUGAUGAUGUGCGCAGAAAGAAGAUUAGCUGGUUGCUAUACAAUGUUGUCCUAUGAUGGAAGGCUGCUACUAAUCGAGUCCGCCUUUUUCCUCUCUACCCACCUUCUUCAUGUGCUCUCUAGCUCUCCUAGUUGGAGUAAUUAAGCAAAUCAACAAGUAUCUUCAACACCUGUUGUGGAGGAAGUUUGGCAUGGAUAACAAAGGUUCUGCUCUUAUAGCCUAGGAAAAGAUCUGUAAACCAAAGCUCAAUGGUGGGCUAAGUAUCCUUGAUACUACUAUCCAAAACAAAGCACUUCUACUAAACAACAUUUUCAAGUUCUUCAAUAAGCAGGACAUUCCUUGAAUAAACCUUAUUUGGGAGAAAUAUUAUAGUACUGCCCUACCCAUGGAUAAGUUGGAAGGAUCUCUUUGGUGGAAUCACAUCUGAUACCAACUUUUAAGCAGGCCAGCACCUGUAAGAUUGUAAGUGGAGAAUCCUCUAUGUUUUGGUAUGAUCACUGGAACACACAACCACUCUCAGUCCAAUUCCCAGAACUUCACUCCUAUGCCAAGAACACCAAGUUAUCUCUAAGAAAUUUCAAGGAACACCCAAACUGGACUGAGCUUUUUCAUAUGCCUUUAUCCACUCAAGCUUAUAACCAGUAUCUGCAGUUACAGGACCUAAUACCUGAUUUGGAUAUCUCUGGCAAGGAUGUUUGGACCUGCAAUGGAGUCACCACUAAAUUCUCAUCGAAGAAAAUGUAUAAUUAUCUGCUGGGAGAGCUGGAUGAACACCCUAUCUACAAGCUCAUUUGGGGGAGCUCAAGCAGAUUGUAGCAUAAUUAUUUAUUUAUUUUUGGCUUGUUGCUCACAACAGAGUGAACACUAGAUCCCUGCUUCACAGGAAAGGUUUCCUUCUGGAGGACUACCACUGCCCAAUCUGUAAUCAAGAGGCUGAGGAGACCAUUUAUCAUCUACUCUGGGAUUGUCAUGUUGCACAAACAUGUUAGGAUUCUCUCACCGCCAACAGGAAAAAAGGCACUUUUGUUUGUGAAGAUGCAAUUCUUACUAUGGAAUCUCUUCCAAGUCCUUUCAGUAUGGUUGCUGGAAUAUCUGGUUACAGAGGAACGACAAGACCUAGUUCUUCUCCAAUGGAAGAUCAAGAACAAGCAUGCUGCAAUGUUCCAACAGUGCUUAACUGACAAUUUUUAAGUCAUGUAUUCUCUUCCAAAAUAUGGGAUUGGUUAGUUUGGCUUGGUUUGUGUGCUCUAGACUAGGCGUUUAUUUGUUCUCUUUUUUCCUUGCCAUUGUAACAUACUUUUACAUAAUAGAAGACACCGAAGAACAUAACUCUUAUUUCUCGGGUUAUCAGCAGGCUCCAGAUGGGCCAAAUUUUGCAGCAGUGCGGUACAAAUAGAUGAAUCUAAAAACGUGCGUUUCCAAUCACGCUCAUGUUCCCAAAGCAUACUUAAACAAAUUUUACCAAUCCAACGACUCCUAAGCAUACUCAAACAGGUUACCAGUCCAAAGGCUAACUACAUAUACACAGCUAGUGGCCUACAAUGUCCAGGAGUAGAGGAAUGCCAACACACACGCCUUCCUGUGCUAGCAUCUUUCCGCGGGAAACAAAGAUAGUCGUGCGUAUGAUAAGGGCUGCCAAGAUUUAACUGAAAAUGUUAAGAUGAACAACACGCACGGUCUGGGCAGAGCUUCUGUCGGCCUCAGCUGGCGUUGUGCGUCUGGUCAUGCUCGACAAAGUCCAUGGCCUGCUCUGCUCCUUGGACGCCACGUUGAUAUAGCUCACCCUGUUCCGUAGAUCUUGUCCGCCACCUUGAGGAUCUCUGGCCUCAAUGUGGUGGCUAUGAACUGCGUGUCCACCAGGUCGGCCAGACGCCUGACCACGCCCACAACAGGACUUGCCGAAAGCAGCGGCAAAUAUUCGGAUGGAUGUUCCCAGCAGCAGCUGUAUACCAUGUGAUUCAGCUCAAUGAACACAGGAGGGCAUAGUUGGGCAUACCCAGCUAGACAGACACUAGACCAGGAGAUGUUCGUUUCAAAAAACAGGCAUAUGAAGGCUCUUCUAUGGCGAGGAUAAACAGGUAGAACGGAGCUGGAUCACAUCGUUGGAUAGUGAAGAUCAGUGUUAAUGCCACCACUGCCUUUCUUUUUUUUUUGAAAGAUAGGGGUUUCCCCCCCGCCCCAUUUUUAUUGAUGAGGCAGACAGAACAGAGUUUCUCCCUUGCCAGUGAAGGAAACCUGAAACAUGACUAAGCAUGAGUCUCCAAACACACAGCCUUUAACAAAUUUGAGGAAAAAACAAACAGGGUGUCAUCACCAUAGUGAUUCGGGAAGAGCUUACUAACUGGGGAAUAGUUUUUUUUUGACAGGACAGCUUGGGAAAUAGUAUCAUCUAAAUUUCUAUGAUAGAUUUCGAAUAAUAUGUGCAUGAAUACAUAACAGAUCUCUGCAAAGAACACAUGCCUUGACUUCCACACCAAUAUACUUCUCUAUACUCCCUUCAGGAUCUGGUUCACGAGGCGCGUCCUCAUCCAUGUCAUCAUCGCCAGCAUCACCAUCCUACAGAAAUGGAGUGAGUUAGGAACUAGAAGUGCAAGAAACAGGACCAAAGUUGGUGGGUAAAGCAAGGAAACCGAAACCUUUUUCUUCAUCAUAACCAAGUAUCCGCGGACACCUUGCACUAAUUAAGAGAACACUUCACGGAAGUGCCUUGCAACUCCUUUAAAUGUGUGUUCAAUUGAUUCAUCCUUCCCUUGGUCUAAAACUCAUAUCAACUCUCUAAUUUCUGCAUUACCAAUCAGCAGAUUUUAUGAGAUUCUAGUCUUAGGACAAUCAAAAGGGAAACAAGUUUUGCUGAUCGGAAAGCUUACCUCGUCAUCAGCAUCAAGUUCAGCGCGUCUUCUCCGCUGUUCAGUGAAGUUCAGGAAGGACUAAUUACUUCAAAUGCUCAGUGCAGUCAUAAAGCAGCUGCUGCUUGUUCUUUCUCUUGUACCUUUAUUAUUGGCCAGAAAAUAACUACAGCAUGGUUAACACUAUAAAAAAAGGUAUUGUGCGGCUUAGUUAGCCAGUUUAGCAUCAGCAGGCAAUUGAGCCUAAAUCUCGGAUUUUCUUCAUAUACUCAUCUUGCUUGACAAGAUACGUGCUCGGUGCUCCUGCUGCUCAUCAACUGUUCCAAGUCCCUCAUCUUGCACAGUCUGCUCCAAAGUAGCUUCAAGAGCCUGUGUUUAGAUGUACAUGACACAUAACAAGUCAACAGUAGCUAUACAAGUUAAACCCCAAGGAAACACUAUAGCUGUAUGAAUUACCUUCAGAUCAUUUUUCCGUUGCUCCAUCUUUCUUGAAUUGGCAUUAACAGCAUCGACAUUAGCUGCCCAAAAGAUCUUUUAAGGGGGUUAGGGGGGAACAUUUGAGGAUGGUGUCUCAAUGGUGAAAGAGGUGGUACCUGAUAUGUCCUGCCUUCUAGCGCUUUUCACAUAUUACAACCCGAUCCUGAAGCAUGGUGUCACCAACUUCAUGUCUGUUGUUAAAGAAGCCGGUGCACAUGGUAAUGCCUUAUAGUUUCCCAUAGGUUAAGUGAUGUUCUACAUUAAAAUGUCAUUCAACUCAUAUGGCCACCUUGUUAAUUAUCUGAAAUGCGGCACCGCUUCUCCUGUAUGUUAGUUUUUACUAGUGCACAAGAUUUCAGGUAGAAGAUUGAGGAAUUAAAAGCUGCAUAACAGCAUAGACAUAGACAUAUAUCCACAGCUAUAUUUUACAUGACAAUAGUUUACACGCUGUACAGUGAUGUUAGUAAUAUGGCACUUUGUUGCUGUUGUGAAGUUCUAUUCUCACUGUGACAAUCAAGUUGCAUAUGUAUUACCAUGCUGCAGGUCUUGUGGUACCUGAUGUUCCUCUGGAAGAGACAGACAUUUUGAGAAGCGGGGCUGCCAAGAACACCUUGAGCUGGCAGGCUCUCUUUUGCAUUAUCCAUUUUUCCAUCUCUUGUGUCUCAACAAAAAAGGGUUGAAUAUUCUCUUUAACUCUCCCUAUCUUUGAAGAAAGGCCACGCUUGAUAUUUCUUAUUUAAGCACUGAUGCAUAAUGAUGAGUUACGCUUAUUGGCUCAUUGCUUUUCUGUAAUUUAAGAUGCUGAUUAGUCUGGAUUCUGGAAUGUUGAAGAAAUACUCAGCAUCAGGUGUUGAUUAGUUGGGAAUAUUAAAGAUGCCUCUUUUGUUUGUUAAGUUGGUAACAUCAUUUUUGUUAUGUCUUACAUUAAUGCCUGCAGGUGUUACUAAAAACACCAACAGAAAGAAUGGGGAGAAUUACAAAGGCUUCAGAAGGAUUUGUUUAUCUUGUAAGUGUUCAUAACUCGGAAUCAAUUUUGCUCUCUUAAAAUCUGUUCUCAUAUAGCAUAUUCUCCUUAUUGCUGAUCAGAAAGAUCUCAUAAUGGCCAACAUAGUGUGUAUUUUAAAACUUAAGAAGAGUAGAGUGGUUUAUCAUCUUAAGUUGAGGGAAUUUAUCAUCUGAAGUUGACUUCAUAAACUUAAGAAGAGACAUGCUUCGGCCCUUAAGAAGGGUGUAUUUUAAAACUUAAGAAGAGUACAGUAGUUUAUCAUCUAACCUUUGUUGAGAGAAUUUCAUCAUCUGGAGUUGACUUCAUAAACUUGAGGACACAUGCUUCUGUCCUGUCAUGUUUUUUCUCUUCAACAGAGGCUGUCUUGGCAUGCUUUUGUGCUGACAUGCAUCCUGGUGCUAGCUGUGCUAACUGCUAAACUGAAAAUUAUAAUGAAAUGUACACUACUGUUUAAAAAGACUGAGACGCCUUGGUUAUGUUCUGGCGCUUCUCCAUUUGGCCUUAUGAAUCAUAGACAAACGGGAUUCACUUGACUUGACAUUGUUGAGGUUGACUAUUCGCGAUUCUACUGAAUCUGUUUGAGCGUAAGUUGUCACAUGAUAGGCUAUUUGCUAAGUUGCAGUAAUAUUUGCUAUUCAGGUAAGCACUUCUUCAGGAAAUUAAGCAGGUUUGCCAAGUCUUUCUUUAUUGUUACUCAGUGAACUAGAGUUUUGGUCUGCUAUAAAUGAUGCAAAGAUAACAUCCCUUUGUCCCAAUCCCAUGUCAAUGAUUUCCUUUUUUUUUAAUGAAAUAAACAGCAUUCCUCAGUGUUUAUCAUUGUACAGGUGGUUUCAACAUGGCAGUGCUAGUACAUAUAGUGUGAAUAAAUGGAGGAAUGACCCGGUUAAUAUGCCUGUCGUUCUUUAUUUUGCUAUAAACUUUUCGAACAGUCAGCUGUAUGAGAGAGACCCAGGCGCUAAAUUUCAAUAAAAGCUAGAAAUACUUCCUAGGUUGAGCAAGAACUGUCAUGUCGAAGUCAACUUCCUGGAUGAUACAUCUUUCUGGUUUGAUAUAGCAAUCCCUUUUUGCUUUUUUUACUAUAUAAAUGGAUGCUAAUUACUGUUUCAGUUAAAUACCCAGGAAGAUUUGUCAUCCAGUUUGUAAAAUUAACUGGGCAGUAGUACAAUCUUAUAAGAUCGAAGAACCAAUCAAAAUAAAAAUGAAUUUGCUGGUCGACCUGAACCUCACAUAUAGAUAUGAACUCCAUUCUCAAAGGAAACCAAACAUCUACUUUUUGACUAAAGUUUGCGUUCAACUUUAUUUUUGUAGUUUAUGUCAUGAAAAAACAAAGCAUAUAUUUUCAUUUGCAUUCCUAUUCAUGCUGUUAUCGCUAUUCAAUGACAAUCCUACCUUCACAAAAGUUUCCAGUAGCUGUAUUAAAGUUUACAAGCCACUGCAUAUGACAGUGGUAUAGCAGUCUAGUCAGGAAUUCAUCGCAGAACUAUAAUGGCCUUGGACAGUUUACUCAGAACAAGGACACUAUGGGGUGCUAAGAGUGAUGGUGAUGAACACUGAACCUGUGUGGCAUUCCAUAUCCAAUCUUCACUAGUGGUGUCACUGAAUCACUUGUGCUAUUCUUUUUUUUUUUUGAGGGGAAAGAUUGCAAUUAUAUUCUCUUCCUCUAAAAGGAAUAAAAUAUAAUUGUGUUCUCAGGCUAGCACAUAUUGGUAUUGGUUGACACAAUGCGAGCAGAAUUCACUGAAGGAAUCUCCCAGAAUGUACAAAAAUUCAGAGAAGUUGAUCCAAGAUUCCAAGGUACUGUUAAAUCACUCCAAAGGAGACAUCCGUUUCAAAUAACAUAUGACAGAGUACUACUUUCAAAUGCAUCAGAACAGGAAGAUAUCAAUAAUUUAACUGUGAUCCAUAACAAGCUGCAGACUGAAGGUACUAGCACUAAAUAACUGGAUAGAAAGAGCACCUAUCCAAUCAACACCUAAAACCAUCGAUACUUGGACCAUACCCGACAUCUGAUUCUCAUGAAGGCACCGGAGCCACGCCGACUCGGCAAAUGUGAAGCUGCUCCAAAAUUCACUGAGGAACGGGCGGCUUCUCCACAAAACAGGGAAUGUACGGGUGAAAUCUUUGCGCCCAGCGGUCUCCAAGAGAGCAGACAAUAUCCAGUUUACCGGUAUCCAUAUUGUAGGACAUAAGCAAUGCUUCCUGCCCCGCAUCUUGAAGGAAUAUCAGAUUGCACUCUGGAUGGAUCGCAACCGGCUGGUAGAAUUCGUUGGGUGCACGGCAAGGGCUUCCUAGCAGUUCAAGAAUGCUGGCAGUACACUUCAAGGUCCACAGUCCGCUAGCAUGAUCCUCGAGAACCCAGACCAAGAGCCGGCAUUUACCUUCAUUUUCUACACGCGCGGUGUAUAGGCGUCCCUGCGACAGCCCAAAGAAACCGUUAUUGCUGGUGUCCGGCAUACGGAUCCUCCUCCAGGUUUCCCUCUCUGCGUCAAAAGUGACCAUGGAGCGUAUCACUCCCUCCCAGUCCACCUUGACCACAGGAUGGCAGACAGCCAGAUGCAGAGAUCCAUUGAAGUAGACGCAUCCCGAUUCCUCGCCAAUCAUGAGGUUCUGGGAGCUCCACGCACUCCCAACGGAGGUCCACUGCCCGGUGUCUGAAGAGUAGACCUCCACCCUCUGAACCCCAGCGAAACUUUGCACGAACACAAACACCUUGAAGCGGCGGGGAGCGGCGGGGUCAAAGCACAGGCGAGCGGUGUUGAGGCGCGUCAUCAUCUCGUUCCGGGGCACCGGCAGCACGGCCCAGAUCUCCUUGGUGGCAGGGUUGCACACGACAAAAUCCGCCUCGUCGCUCAUGUCAAACUUCCAGCAGCAGCAGAUGAGGAUGCCGCCGCAGCAGUGAAUGGGCGUGACGUGGCAGUAGCCGCGCACGAAGCUGAGGGAGGGGUCGUCGACCAUCGGCCGGCCCCACCCGGACAGGUUGAGGAAGCUGACGCCGUAAUGGCGCCGGCCGUCGCCGACGUCCACUUGGGAGUAGCAGAAGAAGCCGGAGAGCGUCUGCGGCGACCUCCUGCGGACGGCCGGGUCGGAGCAGAGCGCCAGCCACGCCGUGGACACGCACUUGAAGCGGCAGAGCGACCGGUAUGGCACCCGCGACAGGAUCUCCGACUGGAUCUCCGGGAGCAGGUCGCCCCAGAGGCUCUCCGCUGCCGGCGGAUUCUCCUCCUCCUCCUCCUCCUUCUUCCUCUUCUCCAUCCCAAGGGGGUGCUGCGAAUGGCAGAGGCGCUUAGGGUUUUGAUGAGAUGCGCUUCCUCAAACCGAAGGUGAGGAGAAGGAGAGGGGAGGAGGGCGACAAACCUCACACCUCAAACGCGAUGGGGAUGGCGGCGACGAACGGGACGACGGCGACGACGACGGCGGCGGAGAUGGCGGAGGCGAGCUGCCGAAACCACCGGAAGGGGACUCUGCUCUCACUGAAAAAAACGCACUCUGCUCCGUGUUUGGCGGCCCAAGGAUAAAACACAAUUGCGGCGGCCUCUCGGCCCAAAAUGUGCCUUAGAUUAGAUAGAGCACAUGAUUUUCUAAGCUCAAAAAAAAAUCGAAGCUAAAAAAAAAGUCGGCCGGCGGAUAACUAGAAAAUAUCCGCCGCCUCGCUGGCUGUUGGAUGGACGCGAGGAUAUCCAUCCGAUCUACCCAUCUUCCACUAUUUACCUUUCUGAAACACGGCAUGUGUUGCAGAUUUUGUUUGCAAAGGGGAUCUUGUUGCAGAUUUUUUUUUUUAAAUAGAGGUUUGUUGAAAAAAAAUGUCUUCACUUUUUUGCAACAUAUCUUCAUCUUUUGUACUCCCUUCGUUUUUUUUACUCCGCAUAUAAGAUUUGUUCAAAGUCAAACUACACAAAUUUUGACCAAAUUUACAUAAAGAAUAUGAACAUCUACAAUACUAAAACUAUAUAGUAUGAAAAACUAUAUAGUAUGAAAAAACGUAUCAUGGUGCAUCUGAUAAUAUUGAUUUCAUAUUGUGAAUGUUUAUAUUUUUUAAUAUAAAGUUAGUCAAACUCUACAAAGCUUGACUUUGACCAAACCUUAUAUGCAGACUAAAAUAACGGAGGGAGUAACAUAGAUGAUGUUGCGGAAGGACUUUUGCAACAUGGGUGAUAUUGUAGAAACUUUUACAGCAUAUGUCUAGUUGCAGAUUUUUUGCAACAAAGGUCUUGUAGCAUUUUUUUUCUUUGCAACAGAGGUCUUGUCGCAGAAUUUUUUGUGACAAAAGUAUUAUUACGGAAGUCAGAAAAUUUGCAGAAUUUUUUCGCAACAAAGGUCUUGUUGCAGAAUUAUUCUGCAACAGAGGUCUUGUUGCGGAAAUUUAUAAUCUUUUUUUCAAUCGAUGCCCGUGCGAGCUGAGGCCCUGCAACUGUUCCACGUGAGACGAGAGCGAUAGGAUUUUGAUGUUUUUGGGGAAGGAAAGGUGGAGAACAGGCAGGGCCACAUGGAAACGUGGUAGGCGAUGGAGGCGGUUGAUGUUUGGGAGCAAUCCGCCGGUGGAUGCUAAUCAUUUCCCCCAAAAAAUUAUUUUUCUAGGCACUUAAUUACUUGAGCCAAAAUGCAGGCCCCAUAUUUUCAGUAAUAAAAGAAAAAGAAAGUGGUGGCCUCACAAAUAUUAUGCUAGUACAAUUGAACAUCAUGUGACAAGAUUUCGCACUAAACUUUAUUGCAAAUAUUGUUGCCUCCUAGAGAAUGGUGCGUCUGCCUUCUGAGCAGCACUAUGUGAUGAUCAUGGAAAUUUUAUAGCGGGGAGUAACUGGAAUUUUUUUUUGGUGCAAACAUUGACAAAUGUUUUGCUCACAAAAUUUGAUUGCGAAAUGACAUUCGUGGAAGUUGUGGAAAAAAAUCGAUGAUCCAAAAGUGUUAUUUUCAAAAGCAUUUUGGAGUGCUGAUAUUGCUAUUUUUUUGCCACGACUUUUACGAAUGUCGUUUCACCAUAAAAAAAUCAAGCAUUGAAAACAUUUGUCGAAGUUGACCGCAAAAAAAUCAGAAUUUUUAAAUUUAUUUUCAUUUUUUGUGAUUUUACUAUUCAUCACGAGCAGAAUAUGACUUUUGGGAGUGACUACAUAAUGCCCCCACAUGGACUCGGCAGCCAUGGGCCCAUGGCGGAGGCAAUUGCCCAUGUAAUGGUUUUGUCCUUGCCGGACAGGUGGGUUUUUUUUUGGAAAAACUUCCAAUCUAUUCAUCUUCAAUCAUGGUAGUACAAUGAACACUAGAAAUAAUAAAAAUUACAUCCAGAUCCGUAGACCACCUAGCGACGACUACAAGCACUGAAGCGAGCCGAAGGCACGCCGCUGUCAUCGCCCCUCUCUCGCCGGAGCCGGACAAACCUUGUUGUAGUAGACAGUCGGGAAGUCGCCAUGCUAAGGCCCCGUAGAACCAACACACCAGAACCGCAACCGCCGCGGAUGAAGAGUGUAGAUCAAAAGGAUCCAACCUAAAAAAACACGAACGAAGACGAACAGGUGGGUUACAACAACAAAAAAUUGCUGAAUGGAGGUGGUGGUGGACACAAUGAAGAAAGGAGGCAACUCAGGCAGUGUUGCAGCAGGAACCCCCGGCUUUGGGGGCUCCUUGCAUUUGUUUUUGUUUUGAGAUAUUGAGGGAGUAAUAUAUGAGCAUGUUAGGGAAAUAGGUUUGCAGUUUGCACUGAUUAGUGGAAAUAUGUUAUCGGCUGGGAGGCUGGCCUCAAUGCGCACUAAGCCAGGAUACGGCAUGGGCCCUGUGCUCCAUAGGAGGUCUGUCUUUUGGAAGGUUCAUCAUCUUGGCGUGCACGCCAAGGAUCCCUCACUCGAUCAGGGCUCUAGAUCAGUUACGAAAAUUUGUAACCCUAGGCCUCGUUCCCCCUUAUAAGCUGAGGCAAGGGGGUAGUCGAGGAUCAUCCAACAUCUUGGCAUCGUCUCAUAGCAACAAUCCAUUUAUGUUGUAACUUGUAACCCCCCUCACACGACACGACACGAGGCGUUUUCCCACAAUCAAUCAAAACAGAAGCAAGAGUAGGGAGGGCCAGAAGCUAGGUUGGAGACCAGGAGAAUGUGAUUGGGGUCUCCAAUUCAUCGGCGUGGAUUUGGACAUCCGCAGAGAGACAGAAACUGGGUUGCCACAACCACAUUCUCAUCCCAGAGCAAUACUGUAUAUAGCAUGCAUGAGGACAGCCGGCAACUGGUCAAAGCUACCAAGACGAUGGCCUCCCAGUCCCAGGAAGGCCGCCACAAAUUGAUCCACAACUGUGAGUUUGAUCUCUUGGAGGGAGACUCACGAUAUGACAGGACGUAACUGUAGCUCCUCUUCAUGGUCAAAAGCCUCAGCUCCUUUCCCGCAAAAAAUAAAAUAAAAUAAAAUAAAAUAAAAUAAAGGCCUCAGCUCCACCAUGAUUUAUCAGGGCCUCCUCAACUGCCGGAGCAGCAGCGCCAUCAAGUUUCAACAUCUAAGGCCUUGACCACCUCGUCAGAAAUCUGCUCCUUGAACUUGAGCUCCAGGGCGCUGAUCGCCGCUUCGGUGAUGUCCUCCCCAUCCUGAAUGAUUCCUAGGCUGCGGCAGACCAGCUAUGCACAAACGGGUUACCAGUCCAAAGGCUAGCUAAACUACAUAUGCACAGCUACAUUUAACAGCGAGUGGCCUACAAUGUCCAGGAGUAGAGAGGAAUGGCAACACACACGACCAGGUAUCAUGCAGUAGAGGAAUGUACGAUGGACUGCCAAGAUUCCAACUGAAAAUGUUAAAGACGAACAACACGCAGUCUGGGCAGAGCCUCAGCUGGCGUUGUGCGUCUGGUCAUGCUCGACCAAGUCCAUGGCCUGCUCUGCUCCUUGGACGCCACGUUGUUGUAGCUCACCCUGUUCUUGCGCGUCACACCAUAGAUCUUGUCCGCCACCUUGAGGAUCUCUGGCCUGAAUGUGGCCGCUAUGAACUGGGUGUACGCCAGAUGUCGGACCACGCCUACAACAGUACUUAAGGAAAGCAGCAGCAAAGAUUCGGCUGGAUGUCCUCAGCUCAGCAGCAGCUGUAUACCAUGUUUUUUUUUUUGACGAGUCAACGGCGGGCUUACGCUGGCCUGAACCAUAUAUUACCGAGUGAGGGCCAAAUACAAGGGGUAGCAAGAGGUACAUGGGGGGAGACAGAGGAUAAAAGGAACAAAAAGAAAGACAAAAGAUUACAUAGAGGUUAUAAUCUCGCGGAGAGGUACAGCAACAUGGUUCCCCAGUCUUUGAGCAGGGAUUGUUUCUGAGCAUUCUUGCAGCGGUUGGACCAAAGAAGAACGUCUUCCGCCGCUGCCCUAGCGAUGCGAUGGAUGCCCCAGGUUUCAUUUCGGAAAACCUGAGCAUUGCAUCUUUUCCACGUGUUCCAAAGAAUGGCAAUGAUCACAGUAGAUCGGACUUUGUUGGUGAGAGCACCAAGCCAUAUAUCACAGCUGUAUACCAUGUGAUUUAGCUCAAUGAACACAGGAGGGCAUAGUUGGGCAUGCACCCAGCUAGACAGACACUAGACCAUGAGAUGUUCGUUUCAAAAAACAGGCAUAUGAAGGCUCUUCCAUGCCCAGGAUUAAAAAGCAAAAGAAAUAAAUAAUUAAAAGGAUACUCCCGACAGCCCUUCUGCACUGAGGAUCCAGAGCAGCAUCAAUCUCAUCAAACAGGUAGAACGGAGCUGGGUCACAUCGUUGGAUAGCGAAGAUCAGUGUUAAUGCCACCACUGUCUUCUGCCCUCCAGACAACUGCUUCAUGGACUGAGUUUCUCCCUUGCCAGUGAAGGAAACCUGAAACAUGACUAAGCAUGAGUCUCCAAACCUGAAACAGCCAUUAAUAAUUUUGAGGAAAGAUCAAACAGGGUGUCAUCACCAUAGUAAUUUAGGAAGAGUUUAAUAACUUGGUAACAGUUUUUUUCUUUUGACAGGACAGCUUGGAAAAUAGUAUCGGACCAUCAUCUGAAUUUCCAUGAUGAAUUUAGAAUAAUAUAUGCAUGAAUACAUAACAGAUCUCUGCAAAGAACACAUGCCUUGACUUUCGCACCAAUAUACUUCUCUAUACUCCCUUCAGGAUCUGGUUCACGAGGCGCGUCCUCAUCCAUGUCAUCAUCGCCAGCAUCACCAUCCUACAGAAAUGGAGUGAGUUAGGAACUAGAAGUGCAAGAAACAGGACCAAAGUUGGUGGGUAAAGCAAGGAAACCGAAACCUUUUUCUUCAUCAUAACCAAGUAUCCGCGGACACCUUGCACUAAUUAAGAGAACACUUCACGGAAGUGCCUUGCAACUCCUUUAAAUGUGUGUUCAAUUGAUUCAUCCUUCCCUUGGUCUAAAACUCAUAUCAACUCUCUAAUUUCUGCAUUACCAAUCAGCAGAUUUUAUGAGAUUCCAGUCUUAGGACAAUCAAAAGGGAAACAAGUUGUGCUGAUCAAAAAACUUGCCUCGAGCCUCGUCACCAGGAUCAAGUUCAGCCCGUCUUCUCCGCUGUUCAGUGAAGUUCAGGCACGACUAGUUGCUUCAAAUGCUCAGCGCAGUCAUAAAGCAGCUGCUGCUUGUUCUUUCUCUUGUACCUUUAUUAUUGGCCAGAAAAUAACUACAGCAUGGUUAACACUAUAAAAAAAGGUAUUGUGCAGCUGAGUUAGCCAGUUUAGCAAUGUAAAACAAAUGGAAACAUAGGUUUCAAAAGCAUCAGCAGGCAAUGAGUCCAAAUUUCGGAUUUUCUUCAUAUACUCAUCUUGCUUGACAAGAUACGAGCUCCUGCUGCUCAUCAACUGUUCCAAGUCCUUCGCCCCAUCUCGCACACUCUGCUCCAAAGUAGCUUCAAGAACCUGUGCUUCGAUGUACAUGAUACAAAACAAGUCGAUAGUAGCUAUACAAGUUAAAACCCAAGGAAACACUAUAACUGUAUAAAUUACCUUCAGAUCAUCCCUUUGUUUUUUUCUUUUGCAUUAACAACAUCGACAUUAGCUGCCAAAGGAUCAUUUAAGGGUGAAGGGGCAUCAUUUGAGGAUGUUGUCUCUAUGGUGAAAGAGGCAGUACCUGAUCUGUCCGGCCCUCUAGCUCUUUUCAUACUUUGUCAUUUUAAAUUUUGUUGAGGGAAUUUACCAUAAUGGCCAAUGUAGUGUAUUUUAGAACUUAACAAGAGUACAGUACAGUAGUUUGUCAUUUUAAAUUUUGCUGAGGAAAUUUAUCAUCUGAAGUUGACUUCAUAAACUUAAGAAAGGCACAUGUUUCUGUACUGUCAUGUUUUUUCUCUUCAACAGAGGCUGGCUUCACAUGUAUCCUGGUGCUAGUUGUGCAAAUUGCUAACCUGAAAAAUAUGAUGAAAUGUACACUACUGCUUACAAAGACUGAGACACCUUGGUUAUGUCCUGUCACUUCUCCAUCUGGCUUUGUGAAUCAUAAACAAAAGCAAUUCAGUUGACAUCGUUGAGGUUGAGCAUUUGUGAUUCUACUGAACCUGUUUGAGCAUAACCAGUUACAUGAUACGCUACUUGCUAAGUUGCAGUAAUAUUUACUAUUCAGGUAAGCAGUACUGGAGUUACUGGCACACGUGCAAACAUAAGUUUCAAGGUGGAAGCUCUUCUUGAGGAAAUCAAGCAGGUUUGCUUAGUCUUUUCUCUAUUGUUACUCAGUGAACUAGUUUUGGUCUGCUACCUUAUUGUGCAAUGCACAUCUUGUUCAACAAUGCUUAUAGAACAUUGUCUACUUAUUAUUAUAGGUCGCAGAUAAAGCUGUUGUUGUUGGCUUUGGAGUGUCAACUCCAGAGCAGGUGAAGCAGGUAAAUCAUAUAUAUCCAGCAACUCUCUUGCUAAGCAAAAUAUCUUGUUCUAUCCCCCUUCCUUUGUUUGCUCAAUCUUUGACAACCCUGUGGCUUCAAUUUUGUCUACAAUGCAGAUCGCGGGGUGAGGCGCAGAUGGUGUGAUCGUCGGGAGCGCACUGAUGAGGCAGUUGGGUGAAUCUGGUUCUCCUGAAGAAGGAUUAAAGAAGCUAGAACAAUUGGCCAAGAACCUAAAGCCGCAUUUCCAUAAAAACAUGCAGUUUUGUGGGGGGCGGCACAUAAAUAUCAUGUUUUUUUGGUUCUGUUUUAAAAGUGUAGCAUUACAAUCUUGGCUUCGGAUUUCGAAGGAUCCUCUUGUGUGAUAGAAUAAAUUGUAUCGAUGUGUUGAAUGCUCAGGUCAAUAAAUUGAGGUUAGUGUUAUAAAUGAUGCAAAAGAUCAUCACUUUGUCCCAAUGCCAUGACAAUGGUUUCCUUGGUUUUUAUUUAUUUUAAAACAGCAUUCCUCAGUGUUUACAAAUGGCUUCAACACGAGCGUGCUAAAAUGUACAUAUAUGGUGUGAAUAAAUGGAGAAAUGACCCUGCAUGCCAUGCUUGCAUCAUACUAUUACAUUGAAUACAUUCUGGUAAUAUACCUGCCGUUUCUUUAUUUUGCUAUAAAUGUUUGAACAUGCGGCUGCAGGAGAGACCUCGCCACUAAAUUUCGUUGAAGUUAUAAACACUUACUAGGUCAAGCAAGAACUGUCAUGUUGAAGUCACUUCCUGGAUGAUAGCAUAUGACAGUGGUAUGACAGUCUAGUCAGGAGUUACUUGCAGAACUAAAAUGACCAUGGACAAUUUACUCAGAACAAGGACACUGUAGGGUGUUAAGAGUGCUGGUGAUGAACAAUGAACCUGUGUGGCAUUACAUAACCAAUCUUCACUACGAACAGUGGUAUCACUGGAUGAGUUGUGCUAUUAUCUUCCCCUAAAAAGCAAAUAAAAUACAAUUCUGUUCUCAGACUGGCAUGCACUGCUAUUAUUUGACACCAUGCAAACAGAUUUCGCUGAAGGAAUCUCCCAGUCUGUAUGUACAAGAACUUAAACAAGUUGAUGCAGGAUUCCAAGGUAUUUAAUGACGACAAAAGGAGAUAUCCAUUUCAAAUAGCAUAUGAGAGCACACUGCUUUCAAAAGCAUCAAAAAAGGAUGACGUGAAUAAUUUAAACAACCAAUGAAAAUAAUAAUCAAUUUGCUGGUCAAGCUAAACCUCUCAUAUGGACAUGAACUCCAAUCUCAAAAGGAAACCAAAGAUCUUUCUUUUUAUUGAAGUUUGCAUUCAAAUUUAUUUCCAUAGUUUACGUCACAAACAACAAAGUAUAUAUUUUUUAUAUGCAUUCUUAUUCAUGUUGUUAUCCCUAUUCGAUGACAAGCAUACCAUUACACAGUAACUGUAUCAAAGUUUACAAAUGCUCCUAAGUAUAUUAAAAAAAAUCCGCGGGACAUGCUCCUGAUUCGUGAACUACAUACAAAGCUACUGCAUAUGACAGUGGUAUGACAGUAUAUUCAGGAAUUUGUCGCAGAACUAUACUGACCAUGGACAGUUUACUCAGAACAAGGCCACUAUGGGGCAAGGGUGAUGGUGACGAACAUUGAACAUGUGUGGCAUUACAUGACCAAUCUUCACUACAAAUAGUGGUAUCACUGAAUGAGUUGUGCACCUAUUUGGUAUUCUUUGACACCAUGCAGGCAUAUUUUGCAGGGGAUCUCCCAGUGUGUAUAUAUGUACACCAAUUUAGACAAGUUGAUUCAAGAUUCCAAGGUAUUAAAUUACUACUCCCUCUGUCUCCUUUGUACUCCCUCUGUCUUACAUUUUGCGACAGAGGGAGUACAAAGGAGACAUCCAUUUCAAACAACAUAUGACAGGAUACUACUCUCAGAUGCAUCAAAAUAGGGUGACAUCAAUGAUUUAACUGUGAUGGAUCACAAGUUACAGUUACUUGAACUAAAUAAAUGGAUAGUGAUGGAUAACAAGUUACAGUUACUUGAAAUAAACAAAUGGAUAGAAAGAGGAUUUAUCCAAUCCACCACCCUAAAUCAAGGAAAUCUGGGCCAUACCAACAUCUGAUUCUCAUAAAGUCACUGGAGCCAUGCCUGCUCAGCAAACAUGAAGCUGCUCC